rnacentral:lncRNA from 1 species
CUCAAAAGUAAUAAAAUAAACAGGUUUGAAGGUUCCUACUAUGCUAUAGCAGUAAAAUACUUUUCAAGUUAAAAAAUAAAAAAUAAAGAUGAUAAUUUAUGAGAGGGUAGUUUUAAAAAAGUCACAAACUAGCUGAUAGUGUAGCUUCCAUCACAAAUUGUUGAAGCCAUUUUACUGCACCGACAAAAUGUAAAGAACUUGAUUUGAGCAAGAAGCUUUGAAGCUAAUUGCACUACGUUGAAUAAUGAUCCAAAACUUGGAACUUUUUUCUUUUAAUUCAUACAGUGGUGAAUUAAAUAAUCCAAUGUACAUUAAAAAAAUCCAAAGAGAGACAGAGAUCAUGAAAAGUAAUUACAAGCAGAUCUACAUGGUGGCGAUUGAACAUCUUCAUUUGACAUUUCAGCCAUAAAGAUGCACAAAGCACAUGUUCAAAAACUAAUUUAGUUUAAUUUUAGUUAUGCACAAAGAAGAGUGCAUCCUCCUACCUUCCACUCAGAGCAUUACAUGGCUAGGAUAACCUUGACUAAGAAGCACGGACACUUCAGUUUGGAUAGCGUGUCUGUGUCCGAUACUUGGACACUCUGACACUUGGUGGACACCUAUUGGACAUUGCUAGUGUAACAAAUAUAUUAGACAUGCAUAGAACACGCGUUGAAUAGACUAAAAAGACACAUAUAUGAUAAUGAUAAUAACUUUUGAGCAUGGAAUACAUCAAGCUAAGUUUUUUAAGCAUAUAAACGCAUCAAUUCAUUUACUAUGAAUUUCCUUUUACUAUAAAGUGAUAUAUAUAUUUUAAAUGAAUAUUUUAAUAAACGUGUCCAUGCUGUGUUGUAUCCUAGAUUUUUAAAAUAUGGAGUGUUGCCGUGUUCGUGUUGUGACAUAUUCGUGUCUCGUAUCUGUGUCCAUCCUUCUUAGAACCUUGAGCAAAAAAUAAAGAGUAGUAGAUUUGUUAAAGUUUACAUGGUUCAAUUGGAAUAUAUCUGAUAACAUGAUUAUGGGUGUGAUGAUAACUAUCACAAACAAGUUCACAGUUGGACCAGCGGGAUUAUCUUACAAGCAUACAGCAUAUAGAUGUGUUAGAAGCUUAAAGCAGCAGGGGUGAAUAACAUAAAUGCUAAUAGGAAGGUUACUAGGGAUAUAUUAGAAAUUAGUGAGGAAAGUUCUCUCCCUUUUCCAGCAAUCUCUAAUCUAAAACAACUUUGUGUCCGUUUCAUGGUAGAUUCUCGAGAAUCUCUCCUUAAGAGGGAUUCUUUUACUGAUGUUUUUUUCUUUGGCUACUCCACCCACGACUCUCAACCUCAUAUUUUAUUUUGAUAAACUCAACUUCAUAUUUAUCAUCCACCAUUGAUCUCCAUAGCAAGUUUUCUCCAAGGAAAAUCCCAACUCCAACUAGCUGCAAAAGAAAUAUUCAUUUUCGUCCCAUUAUCGAGACAGGGACCACCUUCCAUCUGCUUCUAAACAGACACUUCCAACUGAGGUGGCACCCUUCUUCUGCAAGCAUUUUAGCUCAAAUAAAGUUUCUGACCUUCUCUUUCCAAGAGAAUUGCUCCCUUUGUAGCCAUUUGUAAUAAACAAAAGAGGGGGUUCAUUAAAUCUAGUCCAUUUCAUUCUUUCAAGACUGCAGAAUUAUCAAAAUAUUUUGUUUUAUUGUUCUGAGUUCAGUAUUAAGGGGUGGGAGAUUAAAUUGCCUGACCCCUUGGUCAAGACAUAUGCCUUGACCAAGUGAGUUAUUCUCAAGUUGACAUAUUAAAAGAUUUUGGAAGAGAACCCUAGGAAAGAACCACAUUAUUUUGAAUACUGAAACCAAUUCAAUACUAACUUGAACAUAAAAAAGAAAUAAUAAUAAUAAUAAUAAUAAUAAUAAUAAUAAUAAUAAUAAUAAAUAGCAUGUAUGCAGCGAUGAGUAAUUGCAAACAAUAUCAAAAGACAUAACACAAUCACUUUUUUAAAAAAACAACUUUCAUUGAGAAAAAUGAAAGAAAACUUAAUAUGCUUCAAGUAGAAACUGCACAGAAUUACAUUUCUGUAGCUUACACCAACACACUUCUUCAAAAAAAAAACCAAAGCAAUUUAAAAAACAAAAGCAAAAGUGUAGAAAUUCAAGAUGGGACCAUGAAUUGGGAAAAAAGUGAAACUGUUUGGUGGUUUUUCUGUAUGUAGUUAUGUCAGCUGCAAAUUGUAAUCUGUAGACAGAUUAAAGAUCACAGUAACUACUACCUAGCGAGGUUUGGUCUUUGGUAAGGUUUCAUGUUUCUUUUUCGGCUUCGGUCUCAAAGGUUUUUUAUAAUUACUCUCUAGGCAAUAUCUUAUCUAGCUGGAAAUCCUUUCUUUAGUAGGUUUUUUGUGGGCUUGUUUUUUGUUUGCCCUAGUAUUCUUUCAUUCUUUUCCUCAAUGAAAGCCGUUGUUUGUAUAUAUAUAAAGAUCAUAGUAACUACUGUAACCAUAUCUUGACGCUUGGUAAGUUGAAACAACGGUACUAAUCGAUUUAGUUCAAAGGGGAUAACAGAUCAGCAGUGUCAAAAAGUUUAGUUGCAUAUACAUACCUUUUUCUUUUGGAUAAUAAAUUGCACUUUCAUACAUAGGAAUGAAAGAAUACAAGGGCAUACAAAAAGACAAACCAACAAAAGAAAAAGGAGUUCAACCCUACCAAAGGACUCCAAUCCAAAAGGACAAGACCAAGCUCAUAAUUAAAAGAAAGCCUAGACACCUAGUGGCUGAUGGCCAUACGAAAUCAUUAAACUUAUCCACCACCCAAACUCCUCCCACCUCUCUAAAGAUUUUGUUAUUUCUUAAGCCAAAUUCCCUACAAAACUACAAAGAAGUUAACGUCCCACAAAACUUUAUCUCAAAAUCACCUCCUUGAGAUGAAACCUGCCAUCUCUAUUCCAAACCCAACAAUCUCAACAAGAAACUCCAACGGUGAGCAAUCCCAAAACAAAUAAUUCAAGCCCUCCUCGCGCCUCUUACCGAUAAUACACCAUUGCAGGACAAAAUAUAAUUGAUAUAAAAGAGUCAUCAAUCAUGGCCCCAAACAUGGCAGGACUAGGAGUGCUUGCACUGAAGGAUGUAGUUUAAGCUGAAGGUGAUUUGAGAAAAGCUACGUUGAAACACCACAAGAAUGCUUUGGUGAGAGAAUUGACAAACCAAGCCACUAACUUCAAUUUCGAUUCAGCAAUAUCCAGCAUCGAUAGGAACAUGGAAGAAAGAGCUCAGUCUAGUACCUCCUGCUUACUUGUCUUUGCUCCAUGAGCAAUAUUUUGAGUACAGAUAUCUGGAGGAAUGGAAGUAAUGAAACUACAACAUGCACAAAAACUACGAUAAAUUUGUAAAUACAAGAAUUUGCUCAACCAAGCUAAGGUAGAUAAUGAAACAAACUAGCAAAGUGCACAAAGUGUCAUUGACCUUUCCAUUAACAAGGAACAAGCUACAACUAAUUCCAACACUUGGCCUAAUGUUUGAAAGUGUUUUAGAUGUGUCGUCGGAUAUCUCAUAUAGAUGAUAAUCUGCAAAGGCAUUGAAUAGCUUACCCACACAAAUCUUUUGAAGAAUAAAACCAAAGGCGAAUAGGCCUAGUGGUAAAAAGGAGACAAUCUCAAUAAAUGACUAAGAGGUUAUGGGUUCAAUCCAUAGGAACCACCUACCUAGGAAUUAAUUUCCUACGAGUUUCCUCGACACCCAAAUGUUGUAUGGUCAGGUGGGUAGUCCCGUUGGAUUAGUCGAGGUGUGCAUAAGCCAGUCCGAACGCUCAUGUAUAUUUUUUAAAAAAUAGUGUAGAACCAUAAGAAUAGCAUGGAGAAAGAAAAACAUGAAUGUCUGAAGUUGACAAUGGUGAUACACUAACCUAUGCCAUCCAAUCCAAUGUCUAUUACUAACGACCUACCCCUAAACUUGAGGCCCAUCAUCUACAACAUACCAUCUUUAAUACAAAAUGCACUACAAAUGGCUAGGUACAUAGAAUAAAGAACUUCAUCUCAAAGUCCUUGUUCAAACUUUGCAUCUCACAGCAAAUACACACCCACACCAAUAAAAGUCUGACAAACCAAAAAAGGAUGAAGAAUUGAUUACUUAAUUAUGCACUAUUUCUUUAAUCUAUAGUUUUUUCCUAUGCUGGAAACAAAUGCUCCUUGCACAUCUAAUCGAGCUGACUUAGCAGUACAACAUCCAAGCCAUUCAUAGAGGAAGAAGUGACAGUAUAGAGUUCUCACUAUCGGAGAGAAGUGCUCGACUCACAUCCCUAAAGACAAAGAAAAUUAAGAGUCGUAGAAACCAUCCCAUUUGUUAUGCACUGUACAAAAUGAUUGUCAAAUACCAAAUUCACUCAACCAACUUCGUGGUCGCACUAAAUUUUCUAAGAUUAACCUACGCAGUGGAAACCAUCAAUCAAAAGAGAUGAGAGAAUUAAGAAUUAUAGACAUCUUCUUUUUAGUUAAGUGAACAAUUAUUAAAAACGAAGGCAUCCUAAAUGAAAGAAGGAUUAUAUAAAUAACUUAUUAUACCACUUGGUUCAACUAAUACUCCAAGAACUUUUCAUUUAGGCUUAUCAACCAAGUUAUUCAACUUCUCCUAAAUAGCUGUGCCGUCGUUAAGUUAGAUAAUGUCCUCGCCAAUAGCAGAUCUAUUCAAGAUCAUCUCAGACACAUACAUAAGACAUAGUUGCAAAUAAUUAUCAAGCCCAAGUCCAUAAAACAGAAGGGCAAUACGUAAGUCGCAACUUUUCCCCGUUAUGAAGCAAGGGCUCAAAGAUGUAAAAGCACUAACCACUCUCUGAAACACAUAGGCACAACAGAGGAAGUAAUCUGAGAAGAACAGCUAGAAUACAGAACUGAUGGCAGAAGUUGGAAUCAUAACAUGGUGUAGUAUAGCAGUGAAAUGAAAAGUAGGAGGAGAGGAAGCAACCUGUAAAGCUCUUCGAAGCUAAGACCGCUAGCGUUAUGAUUGUAAAUCUCGUGAAUUGCAUGUUCCAAAAUCUUCCAGGUCUUCUCAGCAUAUUUCGGAUCCACCACGACCCGGUGUUUAAAGGCCUCUAUCUGGAAAUUCCUCUUCUUUUGGGCACUCAUGGCUACCAGAGAUCGGAUCCCAGAAAACCCUUAAUCUCGAUUGGAUGGAGGAAAACCCUAGGGGUGGGGGGUGGAUUCUGGGGGGAAAGGGAGGAAACAGAGGAUGAUUGAAGAAGAAUUGAGGAAAGGGGGGAAAUGAAAAACAGAGAGAAAUGGGGAAUUGAAGGAAGGAAAGAAGAUUGAAAUGUUUAUCUGAAGGAUUUAAGAAGGGAGGCUGAAAGCAAUAAUUUGAAGAGGAGAAAGAAAGAAAGAAAGAAAGAAUAGAACCAAAAGAAAAAAAAUUUGGUUACUUUUAAUUGAAAUUAUCCUUUUCUUCUCGACGUGGUUCUCUUUUUCCUCCAAUUUUAACUUCCCAACCUUGGAAGGCUCAUCAACUCUGGCUUUGCAACCGGGCCAAUUUUGGGGCGGAUUCACAAUGGAUCACACCCCCUCUAACCCAUCUUAUUUAUUCGUAUACGUGUUGCGUGUGGCUAGUUAGAAUGUAAUUAAUUUUGUUGUACAAGACAAUGAUUUUCAACACUACAAAUAUAGAAUGGAUUUAAUAUUACAACACAUAUUCAAAACUCUCAUUCAAACAUAAGUUUUAGAUUUGAUUACAUUAUGUUACAAGUUUAUUCUCGAGGUCAUGUUUGUUUUAUCUAAUUGACUUUUAAAAGGGACACAUUAUUUUUUUUUUUGAAUUUUUUAAAAAUAGCUUCAAAUGUUUGUGAAGGAAUUGUUCCGAUGCUCCAUUAAGGUCAUCAACUUGUGUUUAGUGGGUCAUUUGGGUCACCAACUAAAUUGAGUUGGGUUGCUUGGCUUACCAAUUUGAGUUGAGUCACUUUGGUUAAAAUAAAUUGUCGUCUCACUCUCCUAUGCUCGAUGACCAACUUCAGCAAUAAUCAAUAUUUUUUAUUGUUGUAGCUACAACUCCAAUAACAAUCAUUGCUUGCAACAUGCUUUGUUGACCUCCGCUAGCAUCAAACUUCAACGAUCACUUCGUUGUUUGACUCCAACAAAUACCAACUUCCUUGACUGAUCAUUUAUGAUGUCCAACUUAGACGAUACGCCACCUAUGAACACCUAGCUCUAACAAAUACCUUAAAUGGCCAACUUUAAGAUCACUUUUCGAGAGACAAACUCCUAAGAUUAUCUCCAAUAACUAACUCACUAUAUCAUAUAUUUUAAAAAAACUAAACAAUGACCUACUUUAAAAUAUAAAUUUGAAAUUGUUUGGUAAGAUACCAAAUUUGAAAUUAUUUGCUUUUCCCUAGCAGCAAUUUAACAUUAAUAAAGUCAGUUAGAGUGUAUAUCAAACCAAAUAACUUGUGUAUAAAAGCACAUUGGAGAAAAUAUAACCAAGCACACGAAUAUUUUUAUUUUAAAUAGUUUCUAUAAAAGUAUUUAAAUGAAUAAAUGUACUUUGAACAAUAUUUUUUUUAGGCUAUCCAAACAUAUCCCAAAAACAUUUUUUUAUAUUAAAAGAAGAUCCAAUGUCAAGUUUAAAAAAUUAAUUUUAUUUGCAAAAUUAGAUUAUAAGUUUAAGGAAAAUUAUUAAAUAUAGAAAAAAAAACUAAAAUGUACUCGAGAUAAUUUAAUAGAUUUUAACACAUCGCUACUCUUUACAAAGAAAAAAAAAUCAGCCUAACACUUUCUUUUAAAAGGAAUCAACCUAGUAACUCAAAACUCCAUGUUAAAUAAAUCAAUAGAUAGAUACAAAAUAGUCAUGCAAUCAAAUAUUGACCAUUCAACUCAAUAAACUAUUAUAACCUCGUGGACUAUGACAACCACACACCAUUUUAACCAACUUUACCAUUUUAACCAACUUUAUGUGUCAAACAAUAACCCUUAGAGUUGAUGUAAAAUUGGCAAAUUGUUGUUGGAACCUCACUAUAUUGAAUCAUUCUCAUUCACAAACAAGGAAGGUCUUUCACGUCAAUGAGUUACUAAUUCUUCACAUUCGUGAUAGGCAAAGUUGUUUCCUUCGUUCAUUUCUAGAAAGAGAUAAUGUAUUUGAAUGUUUGAAAGAAAUAACCUUCAUUCCUCACCAUUCUACAGAAGUUCCCCUCAUCUAUGAUCUAAAUAUUCAUCCCGCAGAAAAUUCAAUUGGUAAUUGUAGUGAUUCCAACAAUGAGCAUGACGAUUGAUAUCCCACACGUAGCUUUGCCACUCUUAUCUUGAUCUCUUCUCUCUUUCGGUCUCCUCUCACUCUUGCUUUCAAAUAUCUAUCUCCCUCUCACUCAUCCUCUUGCUCUCUCACCCUUUUUAGCGAAAACCCACGUAUCUAACGUCUCAAACUCAUGUCCAGCGCUUGAUUAUUAGAACGUCACUUUUUGACGAUAACCACAGAAUCUAAUAUUUUAUGAAAAUUUCAAUUGACCCCUUUUUGCAAACAAAUCUAUGUUCUGACAGAAAUUCAUACAUUUGAUGCUUUGACAACCUCUUUGAUCCAUUUUCGAUGAGCCUACAACCUCUUCGAUGAAAAUAUGAGCAAUCAACGCUCUCUACAACAACAAGUAAAAAAAAAAUCAGAAAGAGAAGAAGGUAGAUAGAAAUAAAGGUGUUUUGAUUAAUGUUGGUUGACGAUGAUAAUGCAAGCAAAAUCUCAAAAUUCUUAUGAUAAAAAUGAGCGGGCACGAUCCAUUUUGUACUUUGUUUGAAACUUCUGUGCAGAUUAUGCAUGCCAAGAUAGAAAAUCCCAAUCACCAAAAGAUUAUCAUUAAAUUAAAAUCUAUUCUCCAAAAAGCAGUCAUGCAUGUACUAAUUAAAACAUUCAAAUGAUCGUUUUACUGUUUGUAUGAACUUCUACUCUACAACAAUUUCUAAGUUUUGAGUACUAGGCUACUGACAUUUAAUGUAAUUACUAUCAACCGAUACCCACCAAGUGCAUAAGUAUCGGAUAUUACUCAACAAAUUAUGCCUACGCUACAACAAACCGCACUAUCCUUGGGCAUGCACUACUCAAUACAGUCAUGUUGGACACUAAACAAAAGUUCUAGAGGAAAACCAUUUUAAAAAAUGAAAGAGGAUGUGGUCUCAAUGUAAAAAUUUCACCCUAAUGCAUAAAUUGAUGGUGAUAAUAAUAAUAAGACUUCUUUUAUUUUAUUUGGAUAAAACCUUUUAACCCACUCCAGAUUGGUAGUAAAACUUGAUAUUAUCUCAUUUGAACAUAUGAACAUAUGCUCAUAUAUCAACAUUGGAGUCUGAUUUAUGUGUUUUAAGAAGAUCUUCAAUUUUAAAUUUAAAGUUAAUAGUUAUUUUACAAAAAAAAAAAAAAAAAAAAAAUCUUUGUUGAGAACUAAUAAAUAUAUAUGCAUUUAAAAAAGAAAUUCAAAUUAGUAAAUUCAGUUCAAUUAUUAAUUAUGACAACAUUUUAGGAAGAUUAGGUACCUUCUUAAAUAGAAAUUCUACAAAACAAACACAUAGUUAUCCAAUUUUUUUUAGAUAUUUUCAAAAAUUAACUUAAAUUCGUGUGUAAAAGUAAGUUUAAUAUAUAUAUAUAUAUAUAUAUAUAUAUAUCAAUUUAGUUUAGAAUAUAUUCAUAGUAGUAAGUUGUGGUUCUUUCCUCUUAUUAUUCAUCUUAGGUUUCUUAUUAUUCAUCUUAGGUUGGAGUGUAAUUUGUAUUAUAAUUGUUAAGUAUUAUUUGUUCAAUUCAUAGAGAAUGUGUUUGGAAUAUGUUUUAGGGAGAAAAUUAAAGUGUUUAAUUACCUAAAAUUUUAACUUUAGAGAAAUACAAAAGUGUCCAAUAAAUGAAAGCUUUAACUCUUGUUACCUUAGCUUGUUGCAAAGUUGGUUUGAGUGUCGUUUCUUACACUUAUUACUUAUGUACCUUUUGAUAAUUUAGCAAAGAGUUAGAUUGAUAUUUAGAGUUAGUGUUAGAAUAUAUAAGGUAUUGUAAGUUUUUUAGGGCUUUUAGUUAUAAACAAAUCAAAGGAGUGUUGUUUUGCAUCAUGUAAAAUUUAAUAUAUAUGGUGAUUGAGUUCAUACAUCGUCCUUGGAAUUUGGCCUAUAAUUUUAUUUAGUUAAAUUUCACAACUACUUCUACCAUUUUAUCAUUGGAAUUUAGACGUCAAAUUUUAGAUGUGUUCUAUUUAAUUAGCUAGCCCUAUUUCCACUUCUAAGUUGAAAAAAAAAAAAUCAAUAUUAGAGAUAAAAUAUGAUUCAUAUCAUCGAAAAGUAUUUACUUAUUAAACAUUUUUUCGAUAACAUAUCAUAGGUAGUUACAACAUUUCUAUCUAUAUAGUGUUGCACACCACUCGUGUAGAAAUAAUCGAUUAUGCUUUGUUACGUUGAAGUUCAAAAAAAAAAAAAAAACCACAUGAAAUCUAAAAAAUACAUAGAGAAAUUAGCUAAAAAUUAACCCUCGCCAUUAAAGGUAACAUAUUUUGCACCCACUUAGGUAGAAAUAAUUGAUAACUAAGCUACACUUUACAGGGCAAUAAAUUCAAACCUUAUGCAUAUGACCUUUCGAUUGUUAUAUCUUAUAAUAUGUUUGGUAAGAAAAGAGUUAUAUUGUGCAGAAAUUAAUAGAUGUUUGAUCAAAUUGUAUAUAUCUAUAAUGACCUUUUGUUUCGUAUAUACCCAUAACAUACAUCCUUUUAACUCUUCUUUACCAUAAUAAAAUACUAUACAAAAGUUGCAUUAUCCCCUAUGAGUAUAUAUACAAUAACAAUAGGCAAGGAAAGAUUUUAAAAAGAUGUAUGUUACCGACGUGAAUAUAACCCACCUAAUUAAAACAUUAAUUUGUAUAUUCUAUUGUUUAAUUUUGUUAAAUAUAUAAGAUGGUACACAGUACAGAUUGUCUUGCUCCUGCGUUUAUCAAACACACUCAUCGAAAAUUUAAAUUAUAUCAAAUAUGCUUCUUCUUUUUCUCCUCCUUGUCAAUUCUUAAUUUCAUAAUGAGGGCAACCAUUUUAUUAAUUUUUAGAGAAACUUUCCUUUAGUUGUAGAAAUUUAUAUAAUUAGGCCUCUCGCUCUCUCUCUCUCUCUCUCUAUAUAUAUAUAUAUAAACAAAACAUAUAAAUGGAGUAAAUACAUUAUAUUGUAUUAGGCCAAAGCCCAUUUUGAAGAAGGACUUCACUCGACAAUUAGAACAAAUUGGGCCGUCAGCUUUUGGAAGAGACAUACAUCUUUAUGUAAAUACAUCAGUUAAUUUUUCUAUCCAUUUUUGUAAAUAGUUUGACAUUUUUCUAUAUGUGAAAUAUUCUCUUUUUAAUUUUUAAUUUUCAUAUAUGUAUGUAUGUAUUACCAAACUCUCUUGAGAUGUAGGGGAGAUGAGAAAGAAAAGGAAAGAGGAGAGAAAAAAAGAAAGAAAGGAGAGAAAAGAAGAAGAAGAAGAAGAAAUAUAUUUUAUAAUAAAACAAAAUGUUAUACCAAAUAUAAUAUUUUCCUAUAUAUCAGGCAUUCAAAUGCCAAGUUUUAUAAAAAGAAAAGCUAUAAAACUAAAAUGCUAAAAUAGAGUGGGUGCAUUUGUUAGAAUUCCUAUUUUUAUAAGGAAAUGCCCCUAAAAUUGUGUUUAAAUCUUUCUAGAGAAAAUAUUUGGUUUUCCUGGGAUAUGUAUGAUAAGUUUUCUCUUAAUAAUUAUAUUAAACAAAAAUGUGUUCAUAGUUUAAUUAAUUAUGUUUCUAAAUUUCAUUAAAAUCUUUAAACCUUUAAAUUAAGAAGUAUAUAUAUUAAAUGUGUACAAUGGUAUAUUUAUAUUUUUUACCUCCUUACAUAUGAAUAUUUCAGUUUUAUUUACUCUUAUCAUUCUAAUACAAUAUAAGGCAAAUCUUUCUUUUACUUGUGUGUGUGUUUUCUUCCAUAAUGAAUGAUGCUUUUUUUGAACCCUACCCCUCCUUAUUUUACUUAAUUUUCUCACAAAAAUCCACCAUACACGUAGGGCAGUAGAAAGAGAACUGUUUUAUAUUCCACUUUUAUUACGAGUCAUAAUCUUUCAUAUUACUUUUAGUAAUCUCUAUUUUGUACUCACCACAUGCACCUUUUGGACUUUCAUGGAUAAAUCAUAUAAAUACUAAACUAACUUCCAUGGAUAUUUUUGAUAUAAUAAAUACAUAUAACUAAAAGCAACCAUGUUAUUUAAAUACAUCAUAAUAAUUUAGCCUUUAUAGCUUUAGAGUCUAUAUAAAGAAGUGGUACCUUGAAGAAUAUCACCGUCUCUUUCUUACACAAUUCUAUUUAUGUCAAACGAACUUAUCAAAUAUAUCCCCCUCUCCAUUCCACUUGUGCCCGUGACAAAUAAUUUCAUAUUACUACGUAAAAAAAAUUAAUAUAAACCUCCAAUUUCACAUUUUUAUUUCUAAUAUUACAAUUAUUGAGGACACGUCAGAUCGUCAAAGGCCGUGACGCUCCAUCAGGCAUCAAUCACCCGCCGUCCCACUACCCAAUUCCUACCUUUACAAUGCCACCUGUUUGCUAACGUCACCCAUCCCCUUGGUCACCGUCUAAGACUCACCACCUCACGUCCAUUCCUGUUAUGCCACGUUUCCUUCUUAAAAAAAACUCUACAAAAUUUAUCGGAUCCAACAAAAUCUACCCCACCACUCCUCUUUCGCCACGUAGCUAAAGAUUUUACCACCAUGGAUUUAUAAAUGACGUGGCGUGGGAGAAGUGGGAUUUUAGCAGUGACGUGGCGGACAGCGAGAGAAAUAUCCAUUAAAGGAAAUCAGAAAACAAAAAUCCUUUUUCCUCAUAUAAAGGAAAACGGUUUUUUGACCUUUCCAUAUAACGCCAUUCUUAUUUAACACGUGUCAAAAUCAUCCUGCACGUGCCUCCUGCCACGUAAUCACCUCAAACCGCACCGUUUUAUCUCCCGAGUAUAAAAUACAAAGACUCGGCAUCUGUUUUAUGCAUCACCCGUGUGAGAAAGAAAAACAGAAUUACGAACUGAACCAACCAGAACACGGCGUCGUAAUGACGAAGCAAUUGAAAGAGAAUCAAGAACCUCUAAUCUCCGGCGGAGACUUUUCAGCAGCGGAACCGGAGGAGUCGAUGAGGUCGAUUUGUAAUCCUUGUGAUUUUCACACUCCGAAGACGUACAAGGAAGUGGAGACGGAUCAAGAAAGUAUAGGAUCGUCGGAGGAAACAGAGUCGCCGAAAUCAGUAGCGAAGGUUGCGGACUGGAGGAAGAAACUAGCGUAUGUUCAUUACCAGGUUCGGAGAAUCAGAGAAGAGGAUUUGCAUCUUGGUGAAGACAUCGGUGAAGGCUUCAACGCGAAAGAGAAGAUUAAUUCGAUUGGUGGAGAUUGGUGCGAUGUUCCACAUAAUAAUCCUCCUCCUCCUCCUCAUUCUUCUUUUCAUAAUCAUCGCGUUGGUUCUCAGAUGAAUGUCGUGAUUUUCUCAAGGCCGAUCUUGCCGAGCUCGCCGCUCGGCGGGAAGAACACGUUUAGAGCCUUAAGUUAAAACAAGGUACGAUUGUUCAAUUUUUAAUUUUGGUUCAGUGAAAUUAAUUGAAUCGAUCAGCGAGGAAAUUGAAGGUCUGGAUUCUUGUGAUUGAGUUAGUUUUGGCUACUGGUUUUGCAGGAGAGGUGGAAAAAUGAGAGGAAAUAGUUAGACGUGAUCAAGGAAGUGAAAAAUUGGGGGAAAAUUUUGAUCCGUGGUUCAUGGCUGCACAGAAAAUUUAGGGUUUGUUUGAAUGUGGAAGGGAAAAUUUGGAACGAUGAACAAAAAUAAAGAUUAAAAAAAGAAAAAAAAAAUGGCGAUGAAACGAUUCAUACUCCACUGUAAAGUCUAAUCUCAAUGGUAAAUGAGAGGAAAUUGCAUGAAUCCUGCCUAUGUAAAUAAAUUUCCUGCCUUUACAUUUAUUUAUCUAUUUAUUAUUUUAAUUUCUUGCUUUGUUUAUUUUUCUUUUCUUUUCAAAAUUAGACAUCUUGAAUUUCAAAAAUGACCAAAUUCAUAUCAACCACUAUUUGCAUUUGUAAUUAUUUUUUUACAAACGUUUCUUAUUUUAAAAGUUUUACCAAACAUCUCUACUCUUUUUUUAUUUUUCUCUAUUUCAUAUAAUUUUGCAUUAAAAAAAUUAAAAACUUGGAAAUAAUGAAAAUAUAAAUAUAUGUGAACAAAAACUUUGAUGAAGCAUAAUUAAAUUUUUCUACAAAAUAUAGACCCAAAAAGCUUGAAAGCAUAGGAACAUAAUUAAUUAAGAUGUUUUUAUAAUGUUGUUUCUGAAAUUUAAAAUUACAAGAUGACAUUACCUAAUAAUUUUGCAUACCUCAAAAUAAUAUAUUGUAAAAACUUUUCUUCUUUUUUAAAAAAAUCAGGUUUCAUACUUCUUAGAUAAUGUUGUCUCAAUUUCUAUUUUUUUUUAACCAAAAAAACUUCUCAACCAUAUUUUAUAGAACAAAAGAUAAAGGUGGAGUGUAAAAAUGAAACUUCUGUCAAAAGUUCUAAAACUUAUUACAUAAUAAUUAAAAAGAAAAAUUAUAUAAAAAAAAUAGAAAAUAUUCACUUUAUAAGUAAUUCAUUUUUCUUUUUUAUUAGUUUUGUUCUGUCAAUUUUUUAAAAAAGAUAAGAUAUAUAUUUAUUAUCCUGAAAUGGCUGUCACAAUGACCUAUUUUCUAAAUGAGUUUUGAAAAUUUUAUCGAAUUUAUAAGAAUUUUUCAUGGUAAAAAUGUCAAAUUAUUUUUUCUAAAAAAAUUAGAGAAAUUGUCAAAAGAACAUUUUUCAAAUCUUUUAUUUAAUUUUUUUAUAUUUCUCAAAAUUAUUAUUCAAAUCUUCCCUAAUCUAACACCAAACUUUUAUUCAAAUCUUAACUGUUUUUAUCGUAAAAUUUGAAAACAUAGAUAAUGGAUUUAUUGGAAAUUUUCAAAAAUUUUGAAUAACUAAUUUUUUCUAUAAUAUUUCUCCAUGUUGGACCGAAUCUUAUCUAAUUUUUUAAUACACAUUUCUCAAAUAAUUUGUUCGAAUGUGUUCCAUAAUUACAUUGACAAGAUUAUCGUAAAAAUCUUAUUAAGAAUAGUUUUAUAUAAAAUUUGGCACUAUUAUAAUAUAAAUUUUAACAAAAGUGAGGUAAAAGAUUUGGUUAAUUGUUUGGUUUGGUGAAAGAUUUUAAUAUUUUUUUUUUUUUAAAUUUGGAAAUAUUUGAAAAAAGUAGUAAGGGCAGUCUAAGUGAUACUUUAACCAUUCAUAGGUUAAUAUUUUUAAUAUUUUAAAAAAAUGAUGGUCGAUUUCGUUCGAGAUGGACCAAGAAAAACAAUAUUACAAAAUGUGUCAAUUUUGAAAACAAAAGGUAAUUUUAUCAAAUUCCCAAAACAAAGAAAAAAGAAACACUUAAAAACAUGGAUAGAUUUUUAUCAACAUUUAUCAUAAUAAUUAUCUAUCAUUUUCUGUCAACACUGAUCAUAUACUUCUAUUAGCUUCUAUCAAUAAUAGACUUUUAGCAACAUCUAUAUAGAGUAAGAAAGGAAAAAGGUUUCCUUAUAAGUUGUAGAUAGUUUUAGUUCACUUUUCUAUUGGAUAAUUUUUUAGAAUUUAUUUAAUUAAACCGAAACAAAAAAUUUAUAUUUUAAUAGUUUUGCAUAUCCAUACAAAUCAAUGCCAUAAAUUUAUGUAUACUUUAUGUUCUUGUUCUUCUUUUAGUCAAUAUAUUUGUUUGCCCUAUUUUAUAUUAAUCACAUAUAAGGUAUGAGAAUCGCAAUUAUAUUCUAAAACAAAAUAUGAUUAAUUCCAGUAUGGAGUCCAUGAUUUGAUUCAUGAAUGGUAUUUUCUAAAAAUAUUUCUGAUACAUUUUUUUUUCUUCUGUUGACUUCUCUUUAAAACUCUUUUAAAAGGAAGACAGUAUUGUAUGAUUGGAAUUUGACUAUUUUUAUGCACCUAACUAGAAGAGAUUCCUUUUCAAAUAAAACAAUAAAAAUUAUUACAACAUUACUUUAUCUCAAUAUAGUUUCUUUAUGUGUAAUAUUUUCUCUUGAGGCAGACUAAUUAUUAGAAAUUUACCAUAUAUAUAUAUAUAAUUAAUAUUUCCUUAAUUUCAGUUCAGUUAUAUUAAAAAGUAUAUUGAAAUUAGUAGAAUGUUAAAAUACAUUUAAACUCAAAUUUUAAAGGUUAAAAUGUCAAGUUCGAAAAAUAGAUUGGACUAAAGUAUUAUGGAACUAUUACGAAAUAUUUUUAGAAAAGUUUCUAACAUAUAUCAACAAAAGUGCUAGUCUGUGUAUAAAAAUGGUAGGAAGAAUAUAUUGGAAAUCUUAUGUACAAAGUUCUAUAUAUUAAAAGCUUAAUUUAUAAAUUUUCUAUAAAGAGUUUCACCAAAUAUGUGAAUUAAAAUGGCUUUUGAAAACUUUCAUACAUUAAUGUCUUUGGGAAACAAACAAACAGUUGGCAUAAAGUGCUAUGAAAAGAUGUUGAAAAUUUACAGGACAAAAGAGAGAGAAACAAAUUGGUGGGACUUUUAUACAUUGCCUCUUUCAUGUUUCUAAUUCAUUGUCACUUUUCUCUUAUGAUAAAGGCAAUGUUUGGUAUAUCGUAUAUGUCCUUCAAAUCACGAGAUGUUUAUAGUAUUACUAUAGUACAUGGCUUAAACUAGUUUGAUAUUGUGCGUGUUGCACUGUGUUGUGUAAAGUUAUGAAUAAGACUACUUUUUGUUUAACAACAUCAUGAAAAAUCAUUCAUCAACAUAGGUAAAAGUAAUAGUUAUUUAAUAGUAACUAAAUAAAAUGUAGCUUUUUUUUAAAAAAAAUUUGUUUAAAACGUGGUUUAACUACAAUAAUUGCAUUGCAUUGCAUGAAGCCCAAAGGAAGAUUGAGAGAUGUGAAGGAAAUGAAAGGGUUUGAUGAUCAUAAUGAAAUGACCAAAUUGAGUCUUUUCCUUUUGUGGGUUCCAAAAAGAAAAGGGGAAAAAAAAUGCAUAGAAAUGCUGCCUUUUUGCCAUAUUCACUUUCAAACAUUGAUUAUAGCUGAAGUCUCUUCCUUUGAACGAAAAAGCUUUCAUUUCCCAUCUCAAAAAAGUGUACUUCCUUUGCCCAAUGAAACUCCAUCCACUUGUUUUCACCUCCAUUAUAUUUUUUACCAAUUAUAUUUUGGCAUUUACUAUUUAUAGUUUUUAGUGAUAUAUUAUUGUCACCUUUUCGUAUUUUCAUUACUAUAUUCAAUCUUAAAGGUAAAAGGGAUUGUAAACAUGAAUUUAUGAUUUUCCUCAACACUUUUUUGGGCAUGGAAAGAAAAAUAUGAAUAAGGGUCGGUAAAAAGCUUUUGUUGAUCGUUUAUUAAUCUUUGUAAAAAUAUUUCCUAUCAAUACAAAAACUUAGAUUUAUAAGAAUGUAGAUGGAAAUAUAUAAAUGUGUAUAGUGAAUGUACAUGUACUACAUAUCCUCUUCUAUAAUAUUCCCAUUUAUAGUGUAGGUAAUCAAACAUUUGGGCAUAUAUUGAAUGCUCCCAAUGCAAAUUCUUUCACACACACAACAAAAAUGAAAAAGUAAAUGGAGAGAGGAAUUUCAUCCCCUUUGAGAUAAUAAAAACAUUUUCACACAACAAUAAUGAGUGUACACAGAUUUGUAAUUUUCCUUUGUCAUUUAAUUAAAAAGCCAACCUACUAAAUUCCAAUCAACUUUGUCAUUUUCUCAAUUGCACAACAAAUAAAUAUACACUACCAUUGUUGCACUAUAUAUUCCAACUUAUAUAUAUAAUUACAGUUUAAAUGUGCAUAAUUAGAAAUUAAACUUAACCCUUUUAAGUUAAAAACAAAUCCUACCUCAACCAACAUAUAAUUUGUGGGAGUUAUUAUAAGAUUUGUCCUUCAUAUUCUCCAUCUUCCAAUAUGUAUUAUUAAUAAUCUUAAAGCAAUGUUUGAAAAAAAAGAAACAAUUUUUUAAAUAUUUCUUUCAUUUCUCCUCUUUCUAUUUUUUUUUCUCCUAAUUAUUUUGUUCCCAUUUCUUCAUUUAUUACUUUUAAUUAGCUAUUUACAUAUUCUCCAAUUUUCUUCAGAGUUCUGAGCCAAUGUGUUCUGUUUUGAAUGUAUUUUGAAAUUAUAUACUAAGUUUUAGUUUCAUAUUUAUCUUUUUAUUUUCUUUAAAAGAUUCACUUUCAUUUACUUUUUGUUUUUAAAAAUAAAAACUAAAUGCUACAUCAUAAUUCUCUAUUAGUAAUUAAUGAAAAUUGCUACCAUCAAAGCUAUGAGAUAAAAUGAAUUGGAGGACCAAAAUGCUAACAAAAAUAAAACUAAACACGUUGAGAGUGUGAAUUCAUUAUGUUCUUCAACUUCCAACCUUACCUUACAUGAUAAUUAGUUUCAUACAACCUAUGUUAACUUAAUUAUUCUCUUCAUAACCCACCACUUAUUCUAAUUGAAACUUGUUCAAUUACAAAUUAGCAAUCAAAAGAUCAAAGAUUUAUUAUUUUUUUCAUCUCAAAAUAUCAUGAAAUUAUUAGCAAUUUUGAUAUAUCAACAAUUCAAAAAAUAAAAAUUAAUAUUAUAAAAAAAUCAUGGAUCAAAGCGAAUAAACAAACCUAAAAGAUUAAUUGACAUUUAUAGUUCCUUAUUUUUAUUUUAAUUUUAGCUGAGAUAACUCAAUGAAAAAUAUGCACCACAUGAUGGAUGAUCUAUUUGUAGUGGUUGCCUUGAAGAGAAAUAAAUGGCACUGUUUGGUAAAAGAAUUUAUGGCCCAUGCUUUUUGACAACAAACAAUUAUCAAAAUUGACCUUUUUUCUCCCCUCUCUGUCUCUCUAGCUAGAUUCAUCAUAUGCAUUAUUGUCCAUUUCUUAUGAGUUGUGACCAACCAAACCUCCAUUCCAAUUUCAUCCUAAAAUCUCCUCUUCUUGUUUUUCUUCAAUUACAUCUCUCUCUCUAUAUACUUUUUUUUUAUUAUUAUUAUCAACACAUUUGCAUGCUGCAACACAGAGCUUUGCCUUUUCCUAAAGUCAUUUUUCUUUACACUUGUACACACAACUCCUCCAUGUAUGUUAUCAUUGUGUCCACUGUUUCAAAAAGAAAGAAGAAAGAAGAAAUUUCUUUUAUAUAGGAUCUCAACUGAUUUUUAGAUGGUUUUAACUUUUAAUUAAUGUUCAUCUAACUCUUAACUCACUUUUGAUUAUGAUUAUGAUCAAUUUAUUACUUCUUCAAGCCAAAAAGAAAAAAGAAAAAAGAAAAAAGAAAAAUGACAAUCAAUCUCACAAUCUUCCAAAAAAAUAAACAAAUUCAAGUAUAAUCAAACUCACAUUUGAUUAAGAAAUCUAAUGGCAAAUGCAAAGGGGAGAGAUAUAAUCAGCUUCUCACCAACUUCCAAAAAAAGUAUAAACACUCUGUAUUUAGUAAUCUGAAUACAAAAAUUUCAGUAAGUAUACAAGUUUUCUCUUUUUUGUUCUUAACACACAAAGGGGAGGAGAAAAUCCUUCUUAUUAUCAUUAUUGUUCAAUAUUCUCCACUUGUUAGAUUAUGAUUCUCUAUUCUUCUCCUCCAAAAUCAGAUAAAAAAAAACUUCUUCAACUGUACAAACAAAAAGAAAGAGCAGGACAAAACCCAGAAAUAAGAAAAAGAUAAGGUAAAGAAUUUUCAGAUUUGUACCUUGUGAUUUUGCAUUAAUGGCAGCAGAUUGGGCAUCUUACAAGCCCGUUUUCAUUGCAAUCAAGACAUCUUUGAAAACCAUACCCAUCUUCUUCUUCUUCUUCUUCAACUUCUUCUUCGUAAUCUUCUUCUUCAUAAAACACUUUACAGCUUCCACAACACGUCUCACAUGGCACAAAUCUUAUAUCCCCACAACCUUCACAGACACCAUCACCAUUUUCAAUUUUCUCGCAACAUUCAAGCAAUUUCUCUAGCUGCCCAUCUUCAUGUAACCUCCUAAUUUCUUCAGCAUCACCGAGUUGCUUCCUCCCAAUGAACACUCUGGGUAAAUUCCCUCCACUAUUUUUGUUCUGAUCUUCCAUUAAUAGCUGCUUUAGCUCUUCUUUAAACCCACUAUGCAUUGACACAUCUCUUUCAUCUACACGAACUCUAAUAGCUCUUAGAAUUGCUCUAACAUGGCAACAAUCUUCAUAUGUCUUACGAAUCCCUCUCAAGCUUGUAAAGUAUAGAAUAACCUUAUCCCUUUUCUUCUCCCCUGGCCAACUGUAGAAUUUCUUUGGAUCCACGAUGGCUGACGGUGGCUGUUGGUGCUUUGGAUUUUCUACCGGGCGGAGGUGAAAUGGGUGGUCCGGGGAGAGCUGUUGAAGAGAUUUUCGAAACGAUGAAAUUACUUCCGGGUCGAAAUCGGAAGCCAUUGAAUCGGAGUUUGGAUUUUCAUCUUCAAUUUCAGCGUCUUCUUCUUCUUCUUUUAAUUGAAGCCAGAGAGGUUUCUGAGAUGAAUUGUUACCAUUUGCUUUCGAAAUCGGCUCGGGCGAUCGAUUUAGAAAGGGAUCGACAACCGUACGGUUACCGAAAUCGAACGAGAGGCUUCGAAAUCCGCUCGGAGACCUGAGAGGGCUAACAUCCUCAAGCCCUUCCAUGAGCUCCCAUGCGUUGAUCGUCUCCGGCUCCCCCGGCGGCGUUCUGAUCGGAGUUUUCGAUGUUGUUUUAGGGAUUUUCUCUGUGAUAAUGUUCGACCAUGUCUUCGCUUCGGCUAAUCCUGUUUUGAAAUCCUCAAUCGUCUUGUAACUAUUACUUCUCUGUGAUUGAUGGUGAUGAUAACCCCCACCAUCACCAUCCCCACCUCCACCCCCACCCCCACCGUGGCCAUUGAUUCCGAGCUCCAACGAACCUAAUGUAGAGGAGGUUAAGGCAACGACGUGAUAACUAUCACCUUUGGCUUGUGGUGGAUGAUGAACUUGCAUAGAGUAGCUUCGAGAAAUCGGCGAAUAUGGCCGCCGGCAAUGACGGCAUCGAUUUGGUUUAGAGCUUACACAUCCCAUUGACGAAUUAACAAAAGGGUGAUAGAAAGAAUUGCAUAAAUUAAUUAUAAAUAAUUCAAAACGAUCAAUCGUUUUAUGGUUAAAUCAGAUCAAAAGGGGGGGAAGAUCAGGUAGAGAAUGAAAGAAUUGAGGAUGGAAUUUCAUUCAAACGAAUCCAAAACAACAUUACCGAGAAUUAGGCUCAAAAUGAACAAAAAAUUGAGAUUCAUACAAUAAUCGCAGAAACAAAAAAGAAUCCAUGUUCCCCUUUUUUCUUCUUCAUCCGAUGUUUGAAGAAAGGAAAAUCAAUGGGGAAACAGCAAAGAAAGAGAAGAAUGGAUAAGGAGCAUCAAUGGCGGAGGAAUGAAUUAGGAUUAUUGUCAAUCCGAAAUGGGGAUUUCGGGAGUGAAGAUUUGGAGAGAGAAACAGGGGGGGGAAGUGAAGGAAUCAAGGGAAGAAGGGAGAUUUUGAUUGAUUUAGAUGUAGAUUUUGGGGGAGAGAGUGUUGAGAAAUGUAAGCAGUUUCCCUCAGUUUCUCUGUCUAGAUUUGAGGAGAGAGAGAGAGAAUGAGAGAAGGAAGAAGAAGAAGAGAAGAAGAGAAGAAGAAAAGAAGAAAAGAAGAGGAAGAAGCAGAGGAUGUUAUUUUAUUUUUGGCAUUAAAAGUGGAGAAUUUAGAACAGAAAUUCUAUGGUGACAUUCUACUUAUACACUUUCCAUAACAAUAAUCCAUACCCCCAUUUUUAAACUUUCAUUUCACUUCAACUACAAACUUUCUUUUUCUUUUUUAAUCUUUACUGAAAAUUUGUUCUUAUAAUAUAAUUUAGAAAAUAUUUUAGUUUAGUUCUUUAUAUAGUUUAAUCCAACUACUUAUUUUCAAAAAAUUAAUCCAACAUUAAACUCUCACAAACUGAACUAAAACUUAUUAACUCACACCGAUCAAAUUUACCAUUUAACUUUUACUGCUUCCUAAAUACCCUCCUUUCUUUUUUUUCUUUUUUUUCUUCUUUCUAAAAUGGUUUGUUUGUUCUUAGUAUUUUCUUUUUAUUUUUGUUUCUUCGUUCACAAAAAAAUAAAAAGGCUAAAAUUUUGAAACUUUAGAUCUAUGGCUAAAUUACACUUUGAAAUACAUCUACAUAUAAAAUAAUAAGAGGAUUUUCUUUUAGAUUUGGCAAAAUAUAUUCCAAAAAUUAAUUUCAUACACAAGAUUUAUUACUUUUACAAAAUGACAAAACAAAAAAAAAAAUGUCCAACACAUUAAAUGUAAACAAAAGUACGAAUAAAUUUGAUACACAUUUGAUAAUAGACCCUUAAUACACUUCAUAUAUUUUGUAUACUAAAAAUAUCAUAUUUGUAAAAUGAAAAAAAAAAAAAGUGUAGGACACGCUUUUAAAUAUGUUAUUCUUCAAUUGCUACCCACCAUCAUUUCUCAAACAAAAGUUUGCUAAGCUAUUAGAAAUAUAAAUUAUAAUAUUAAAAGGAUCAAAUAGACUUCAACUUUAAUUGGACCUAUCUACUACCAAAGAAAAUUACUAAAAAUAUUUCUCACAUUCUUAGAUUAAGGUUAAAAUGGAAUUUACGAAAAGAAAAAUUAUUUUAAAUCACAAAUCUUUUAAAAAUAUCUACAAGUAUUGAAAAAUAUCAUAAUAGGCAAAACUAUUUUAGUUUAUUUAUAUUAUGAUAGACAUAGAAUGUAGUAUAUCUUGAUUUAUCGCGAUCUAUGUUAGAUAAACGGAAUAUUUUGAUUCAUUUUGCUAUAUUUAAAAAUAAACGUUUAUGAAAUUAGCCUAAUCUUUUCAUAAAAUCUAGCAUUUUCAACGCAUUUAUUUAGUAUAAGUUCAAAACACAAUCUUUUUAAUAUUAAACAUAAGAUAUUACGUUAUAGAAUGCAAAAAUCAUACAAAUGUGUAGAUGUAGAUUUGUAUUUAUCAUAGUUUUUCAUAACUAAGGACUAAAGGAGUAGGCCGUAGGAGGAUAGUUCUAUUUUCAUACAUAUUGGGAUAUAUAAUAAUAAUAAUUUGUAACAUUUUAUUUAUAAGAUCAUUUCAAUAUUUGGAGGAUCAAUAUACCGUAGAACCAAUUUUGUAUGAGAUGACUUUCAAUUUGGAUUGAAGUAAUACUAUUUUUAAAUUCUAUCUUCUAAACUUGUAUUAUUAUUUUGCAAAUAAUUAAUAUAUACAACCCAUUUGGUAGUGUAUAUAUAUGUGUAUAUAAGUUAUAUAAAAUUAGUUUGACAAUCUCAACUCAUCAAUUAUUUUAUUCUUUUACUUUAAUUUCAAAAACAACUCAUUCAAAAAUAAAUUACACUAAAUAUAUCUCUCAUUUUCACCUAUCAAACACUCAUUUUCUUCAUUUUUUUUAACACUACGUUUCUUUUUUAAAAAAUCACAAUCAUUUAAGAAACCAUAUUAUAUAAAUGCUUUAUUUCUAAGUCAAUUUAUAUUUUCCAACCCUAUGUUCUUUAAGAAUUUUUCUUUAUUUUCUUUUAAUAUUUUUCAUUCCCGUCCACUGUAUGAAAUUAUAAUAAAAUAUAAAUAUCAAGCGCGAUAGUUUAUAUAUUUUAUAUUAGACUAGCUAUUAUUUUUUUUCAAAUGUAUUAUAUUGCAAAAAGAAGAGAGAUCUCACAAUCUUGGAUAUGGUAAAGGCACAAACAAAACAUAUUAACACAAAACAACCAAAUCAUCGAACCCAAAAGGAAAAACACGCACCACAAAAACUUAAUUAAGAAAGGAGGUUCUAAAGAGAAUAGUCCACGUGAGUCCUCAUAGAAAAAGUCUUCACAUUCUGAACAACACAUAAAAAUCUCAUACUAAAUAUCACUUAAAAAGGCUGCAAAGGAGCAUCAUGGAUACACACUUGCAUGUCUAUUACACCAAAUAUGUAGAUAACCUCACAUCAAGCAAGUCUCCAAAUUUUAGGUCUAGAUAGUCGAUUUCCUCAACUAAAAUGAAACAUUUAAGCAAAGAUUAAUCCACUUCAAAAUACAUAUUUUCCUCUCUCUCCCAUUAACAUUGUUAAGUAUAAAUGUUAGAGAUAUGUAAUAAAAUUUAAAAACCUUAGAAUCCGAAAUUAUUUAAAACACUUCAUACUUAUAAGAUUAAAUUUACCAUUUAUUUUCUGAUUUUCUCAUAUUUUCAUUGGAUUUUUUUUUUCUUUUUGUUGAAUUUGUGGAAAAUGGUUUAGCUAGGCUUUAAUUAGGUUAGCUAUUUAGGUCUUAAUUAUUUCCAAUCAAAUCAACUUUUGUUCAUGGAUAUCAUUUUUUUCAAAUCUAUUUAAGAUAACUAACAAAGGUCAGAUUAAUUUUCAACCUUUUGUUUAUUUUUCUGAAUCAUGUUUUGAAUACAAAAUGAUGUUUUGUGUUUUUAAAAUAGCUCCUGCUGUUCAAACAAGUUGAACAAUAUCCAAAUUAUGCAACCUAAAUUAUAAAGUUUGAGUUUAAAUUUUAUUUUUAGUUGAGUUCAAAUCAGAUUUUUAAAAUUUAGGUUGAUUCAACUGAAAUUUUAAUAUUAUUUAAAAUAAUAUAUUAUAACUUAUAAAAUAUUUUAAUUUAUACAUUAUUGAGUUUGAUUUUAAUAUAUUACAUUUAAGUUUAUAAAACUUUAGUUAGUAAUAUAUGUGGUAGAUAAAUUUAAGUAUUUUAAGUUAAUAAUAUAUAUAUUUAAAAAAGAUAAAUAAAUAACGCGAUAUUAAGUUAGGAUGAAAGUGGGCUGUAAUAAUAUUUAGGUAUUAAGUUUGAAAAGAAAAAUUGUAUUUGGUCCAAUAACUUAUUCCUACGGGCAAAGGAUUUUACUCCUAUUUUAGGUGUUUGAUGCCUAUUAUAUAUUAAUAACAUGAGGUAUUAAGUUUAGAAAAUAAUUGUCAUUAAUGGAGUGAUUUAACAUUCAAUCUCUCUCUAAUUUUGUUGUAUAUACUUUAAAUUCGUUGUCAUCUACUUUAUUUUUUUAUGUUGUUAGGACUUCUAUUAAACGUACAAAUUAGGAAUAGAGGUAGAGAAUUUGAACCACUUGCCUCAAAUUUUCAAUCUAUAUAUGUUUUCUGUCGAGCUAACAUCUUGUUGGUAAUAUUUUAUAUUUUUUUGUACAUAAUAAUUUAACUUUAAAAAGAAUGUUAUUGUAUAGUAAAUUAAACAAACUCGUAAUAAAAUAUUUUUUAGAAAGAGUUUAGUCGAAAGAGUUCUAUUUUAAAUCGUCAUAAAGUUAAUUUAGACAAAUCCAACAUAUAUAUGUUGCACUUUUUUUUAGUUCAAUUCAAUAGUCUAUUUACCAUUUAUUAUGACAAACUCUUGUCUUUUCAUCAAACUAAAGGUGUGUUUCGAUUGCAUUUUCAAGUUAUUAAAAAAAUAAGUUGUUUUGAAAUAAAUUCAUUUGUUUAGCAAUCAACUAAAGUAGAUUUUUAAAAAAUAAUGUGGUUUAGAAUAGAUACUUAAAACAAACUUUUAGAGAAAUAAAUUGGGUGUGUUUAAUGAUUAAUCUUCUUAAUUUAUAUGAAACACUCCGGUCAAUAACUUUGGCUAUCCUCACCAACCAACCUUCGACGUUGUCAUUGGCCAUCAUUUGACUAUCGUUUCCAAUAGUUGUCGUCCAUGAACCUCCGGCCACUAUUUUUUACGCAAUCGUCGACAACCGAUUUUUGUUUAUCAUUUUUUCCAAUAUCAUUUUCAACCAACCUCCAACGACUGCUUUUUGACAACUGUAACCAGAAAAACUUUGGAUGACCAUUUUCAGGCUACUUCCUAGAACAACUAUCAACCACCAUUAUCCAUCAACAUAAAACAUUUGAUAAUUGUUGUCGACCAACUUUUGUUGACUGUUGUUCAGUGACCAUUAUUGGCCAACUUUCUUUUACCGUUUUUGUGGGUUGUUACCUAUCGACUUGUAUUGAUUGUUUUUUGGUGACUGUCAGCUUACUUUCAUGGACCAUUACCAGUCAACGUUUGUCCAUUGUUUUACAUUGUUAUCAGUCAAUUGCCAACAAACAUUUUUUGUGAUUAUUGUUGAUUGACUUCUAACCAUGAUCGUUUUAUGUUGUAUCCCAACCACCUCUGACCACCAUUCUCGAUGACCCAACUCCUAUCGAAAUUCCCACAAAUUUUUUUUAUUAUAAUUUGAAAUAAUAUAUAUAUAUAUAACUCCUAGUCUAUUAUAAAUCAAACAAAAUUUUUAACCUAAAAACACUUUUGAAAAAAAAAAUGUUAAACAUAGAUGUGUUUUUAUUGUAAGAAGUUUUUAGAAAAAACUAUUUAAAUGAAAAUGCAUUUUUUGGAUUUUUUUUUUCUUUAAGUCAUUUCAAUCAUGGCUGACUGUUGUCUAAUUAGUUUAGGCAAUAAUAUAUAUAUAUAUAUAUAUUAUUGGAUAUAGGGUUUAGCCAAUAAUAAUAAUAUCCAUAAUUUUAUUUUAAUUAGUUUAGGCAAUAACAUCUUCCAUAAAUUUCUCUUUUUUCUCUCAAAAUAUUGCAGAUAGGGUUUAGCCAAUAAUAAUAAUAAUAACAAAGAGAAAAUUAUGGUGAAUUCAGUUUCAACAAUGCAGUCAUUUAGUAGAUAGAUAUGAUUUUAUUGAAACUUUAGGCAAUAUUAAAAAAAUUUAAAAGAUAUAUAAAGUAUGAUGAGAUUGAAAAUGAUAUAGAAGAAAAUUAAAAAUAUUAACUCAAAAUUCAAUGAAUUGGACAGACUAUUAAUUUUCUCUUCUCUAAAUAAAAGAAAAAAAGAGUUUUAGAGUUGGAUUUGUAGGGCAGGGGGAUUUGGAGGCACAUGGAACCUUCUCAUAAAAUUAUUGGGUAUGGGCAUCAAAAAUAAAUUAUUUUGGUUGUUAUCUGAGAAGAGAGAAAAGAAACACACCUUCAAUUUUAGGCCAAUUUUGUAUUUGCACCUUUCUUUUCAAUAUAAAUGUGUGAUCUAAAAUUUUGACCCUCCAAUUAACUCUAAAUAAAAUUUUAAAAAAAAUAGAUGUGUCAUUUAUAAUCAUUCAUCAACCAUACUCAUUUCAUCCAAAACUAACUUAUGUUUAUAAUUAUAACAAUUACGUUAAAUCUAGUCCAUAAUAACUUAAUGUUCAUCAUAACCACGAAUAUGGAUAAAAAUAAUGCAAUAAUCCACCACCUUGAUCAUUGUUGCCUUUGAGUAGUAAGUAUUUCGUUUCAAUCAUACAAUUUGUAUCAACAUAAAUGUAGUCGUUAUUCUCUAUUUUCAUGUUUUUUUUUCUUGUUUAUCCGUUAUUGUGAGACUUUAAUCACACUACCAACGUAUAUUUGUUAAACUUCAAAAACGUUGUAGAAAACGCACGAGACUUUAGGUUAACUAUGGUAAGUGAUCUAAUUGUACUGACAUUUGUUUUUGGCUACUCACUAAAAGUAUGAUGCGUUUUAGUAUAUUAUCUCUAAUUAAAUUUCCUUUUACUAGUUUUUUAAUGAAAAAAGAGUAUAAUCGAAACUAAAUUUUUAGUGUAAAUCUUUUAAGUCAACGUUUGAAAAAGAAUUUUGCGUAAUUGUAAUUUCUUAGCUUUUUGUAAAAGUGACCCGACAUGUUUUUACACUAUUGGUUAGUAAAAAAUGUUAGUUUUCUUAGCCUCUUAUUUUUAAGAAAGAAAACAUCUUCCUUUAAUAGUUGAGUCAUUCACAGUUAUGUUAAAUCCACACGUCCCUAUGGCUAUUACUAUAUCAACUUUUUUAAUUUAUUUAUUAGAUAAGUUAAUCAAAGCUACUCUCCUCCGAUAGAAAAGAGUGUAAGAUUUAUUUUAGAAAUUAAUUACUUUUUACUUUUUGUGAGUUUAAUUAUUUAGUAUAUGAAUGUUUUUCUUUUUUGGAUGGAAUUACUUUUAUUCAAAUAUCGUCUCAUAAAAUUGUUUUCAUACCUUUAUUCAUUAUAACCAUAAAUGAAAAAUAGUUGAUAACUAUAUAGAUAAGAUAGAUGAAAGAUAAAAAAGAUAUAUAAGGUGGAAAGAAUGAUGAGAAACAAUAUAAAAGAGUAGAUUAGUAUUAGAAUUUAUGCUUUUGCAAAACUUAAGGAGAAGGAACAUGAAAUUUAUAUAAGGAGUGGAUGAAGAGGAGGAAGCAAAAAGAAAGAAAGAAAGAAGGAAGCAAGGAAGCAAGGAAGCAAGGUAAGGUUAAUAAUUAUUAAGGACAUGUGUGAGCAUGAAUAGUUACACGUGGUGCACGUGAGCUUUUAGGUUGGUGUUUUCCAACAAUUGUUUGACAAAAGUGAAAAGAGAAAGAAAAAAGAAAGUUAAAAAGAACUUUGGAUCUCUCACAGCCACAGCCCCCAUUUGGCCAUUUCCAUUUCCCAUCAUGGCUGCACCUCGUGAAGGAGCUACCCAUAUUAUUAUUUCUUUUUCUUUUCAAUACCCAACCUACAAAUUACUUUAAUCCUUCACCCUUUUUCCUUAACAAUAUGUAAUAUCUUCAACUCCAUCUAUCCAAUUCUAUCAAAUAGAUUAUCUAGUUUUGAACACACAUAUCUUGUCUUUUUUGUUAUCUAUUUAUUCACUUGAAAACAUACCUCCUCUGUAAGAGAAUCAGGAUAGUAGUUAGAAUAGAGUGUGUUACAACAAUAUAUUCAAAGGGUAAAAGAUCAAUUGAGAGAAAAAAUUUAAUAUGUUCUUAGAAUAACAAAUCAUAUGGUCAUAAUUAUAAGUAUAUUAUAGAGUGAUGCUCAAAAUCACUUAUAUAAACGAGGACCGAAGACUUUAAAAACUGUAUAACAAGAUAAACCAUGUAUAGAUAUAAAUUUUCAAUAUAACAUUAAAGUAUAUCCAACUUCGAGACAAACCCUUGAGCUCAUUAUAUAUCUAUUGAGAUUCUUCUUUCAGCCUUCCUUUUUAUAGCAACACACUACAGAAAAAAAAUGAAAAGAAAAAGAGAAAGGUUAUCUAAUAUUUGGAACUCUAACAUCAAUCUUAAUUAUCAUGUAAGUUUAACCAUAUAAUGUGUAAGAUAUUAUUUUUCAAUAAAAUGUUUGUUUCUUCAUAUAUAUUAAAAAGAUAAGUUGUUGAUGAUUAGAGUUGAAUUAUAUUAAUUAGGGUGUCACGUUUCGUGGGAGCUCCCCCUUUGUUCAUAAAGAGACCCCUUUUGAUAUGGAAAAAGGUUUCUGUUAUACGUCUCUAAUGGCCAUUAAUGGAUGCCUUUUUCCCUUACUUUCUUGGCCCUCUCCCUCUCAUAAUAUGUAUUUUUAAUUAUUUGUUACCUUUUGCUAUCUAUGAUCUUUUCCAUCUCACUUUUUCCUUUAUUUUUCCGUUUGGGUUAUAAGUGUUUCUUCCUAUACAGAUGAAUUUCUAAGACAUCAUAAAGGGAGGAUGCAAUGCAAUCAUCUUUCCCUUUUAAUUUAGUUUUCUUUUAGCUCGCCUUUAACCUUUUUUUUCUUUAAAUUACGUACAUCUCCGACUAUACCUAAUUUUAUGCAUCGAUCUAUUAAAUUGUCUAAUCAUAAGAUAUGGUAUUUAUUGCAAAUAAUUGAAUAUUUUAUUAAAAAUAAUUUUAAUCUGUUUGUUAGAUGUUAUAUUAAAUUUGUCUUCACUCAUCAACUUAAAACUUUUAAGUCGUAAUAGAAAAAGGUUUUUUUUUUUUUCACCAUUCCUUGUAACCUUAGGAUUUAGAUGAACCAUUUCUUCGUUAAAAUCUAUAGCAACAUUAACUAGGUAUCUAGAAGAGUUAUUGAAUUAUCCAUAAUAUAUCAUUAGUGUGUAAAUUGGAUUUCUCUAGAAUUGUGUUGAAAGAUGUAAAUAAAUAUCUGAAAGAAAAAAAUAUAGAAAUAUCCUACCGAUUCUAUAGGUUAAGAAAUUAGAAUUUCUUUAGACGAAAAUGAUAAAAUUUAAAAAUAUCUAGAAUAUAGUUAGAAUUAUAGAGAAACAUUUGACUUGGACUUCAAAGAUUUCAUAUGUCUAUAAGUAGGAGGCGUGAUGCUCGUUUAAUUUGUAAGUCAAGCUAGCAAAGUAAACAAAGAGAGGGAAAAAAGGAGAGUUAAAGAGAAACUUUGAGUCGAAGUGAGCGAAUAUUUUGAGAGUAAAAGAGUGUUCUCUUCGAAAGUGUGUAUAUUUUUGUUGUGAAUUUUCUCAAUAAAAGUUUCUUCCAUCUAUGUUUCUUUUAUACCGAUUUGUUCAACAUUCUUAAACUAAACAAGAGAUUUUAAAAUGAAAACAUUUAGAGGAGUGGCUUUACCAAACAUAUCUCUAGACUGGUAUUUAAAUAUCAAAUCAAAAUAUUGAUCAAAGGACUGUCCUAAUGCAGUAGGAUUAGGCAAUGAGUUGAUAUAGAAUUUGGUGGUAGAUCUAAUUGCUCACAAUCAUAAUGAUUUGACAUAAAUAUUUGCACAAAUGAUCUCUCACAUCCCUUCUUUUACAUCUGUUUUGUCUACUUUAUUUGAGACAUUUUAGUUUAGGUAAGGUAUUAUGCCCUCCUCUCAACUAUCAUUAAGGGCAUCUUAAUUAACUCCUAUAAUAGUUGUUAGGUUCUCCUUCAUCUCUCCCAUCCUCGUUUAUCGUAGUAAAGUUUUGAAGGUUCAUGUUAAUAAAGAUGCUAGGAAUGAAAAAAGAAAAGUUUCACUCCAACAUUCAAACUAAAAAAUAAACUUUUCAUCCUUUUAAAAUAAGAAAGUUUUUAUUAAUAUUAUAUAUUAAGGUAGUAUUAAUGGUAAUUUUGUUCAUUUUCUAUCCUAAUAUAAAAGAAAAAUAUCUAUUAAUUCUUUACCCUUAUAUCAAAUUUAUAAACAUUUGAAAAUGUUUGAGAUAAAUUAUAUUUGCAUUUUAUUUAACCUCACAUAUACAUUGAGUAAUAGUUUGUGCAAAAUGUUAACUAAAGAUUUUUUAUCCAAAAGUCUUAGAUAUGAAUUUUACUAAGCUUGUGCAUUUUUACACUCUUUUAAUUUCACUUAAUUUGCUCUAAACUUUAUCCUUACUCCAUCUUUUAUUUUAAUUAUCAUUCAACAUUCUACCUAUAUAUAACUUUAUUUUUUUUCAAUUCACUAUCACAUCACAUUUUCAUUUUUACUUUAAUGUGUGUAUUUUUAUUUUUACAAACGAAAAAUGCAACGGCAACAAUAUAUCAAAUAUCAGUUGUUUUUUCAAUUGAAAACAAUGACAAAUUGAUUGCUUUAAAAUAAUUUUAAAGAUUACAAAUAAAAGACAACUUUUGAAAGGAUAGAAACACAGUUAAAAUUUAUAUUAAACCAUGCCAAAAUUCUUACUAAUACAACUAAAUUAUAUUCAAACACAAAAUAAAAAAAUGACAACGUGAUGGUGAAAUUAAAAAAGAAAAGAAAAGAAAAGAAAAAGGUGUUAGAUUAUGGUUGUAUCUUUAUACGGCAAAUCCUUUUACCAAUUGCUAUUAUAUAUUAUUUAUUGUUGUUGUACAAAUCAAAUGAUAAAGUAUUGAAAACUUAAAAUUAUAUCAAAAGAUACCACUUGUAGAAUAUAUAUAUACAUACACACACAAGAAAGAGUAAUUAUUAUUAAUUAAUUAUCAUAACUAAGGUGGCUUCUUGGUAGAAUGUUUGUCUCCUAAAUGCCUUCUUCAUCACUUCAAGCCCUUCCACUACUUUUUUUUUUUUUUUUUUAUGUAUCCAUGCAUACAAGUUCUCAUAUUAUUUUAUUACCAACAUAACAAUGAAUAAUAAAUUUAGUUCUAAAUACUUGUGUAUGUUUGUUUGUUUCAAAAGCUUUUAAAAAUUCCAACUACAAUAUUUUCUUAAUAUAAAAACCAACUUGUAAAUUAGAAUCAUAUAAUUAUAUACCAUUGUCUUGUUUGGAGUAAUUUUGGACUUAAAGAAAAUAGGUCAAAAGACUUUUUUUUUUCUUUUUAAAAUAUCUAAUAAAAAUAAAUCAAAUAUAAAAGUAGAUCCGGUCUCAAAUAACAAGUCUAAGUCUAAGGUCAAUCGGACCCUUGAAUUACUCAUAUCUAAAUCUAGCAUCUUCAAGAUUAGAAUAAAAAAUCACAUUUAGAGAACGUUUUAUUCAUUUUUAUAAAUACAUCAUUGUAAUAAGAGGUAAGUUCUACGUUUGACUUCUAAUUAUUUCUACCGUCUUCAUCUUUGAUUUUAGCAUUGUUACCGUUUUAUUUUAUGUUUGGAGGUGCUCUCUUUUCUAAACUACAAAUUAAAGUCGAACAAUAUGUUGGAUCAUCAACCAAAACUUGUAUAUCAUAUGUCACUUUCUUAUAAAAUUCUAGAAUGAAUAAUAAAUAAUUUUUUUUUCUAUGCUUAUAAUAUGCUCAAUUAUUGAAAGGAAAGAAUUUUCCAAUUUUCCAAUUGACUUAUAAGAACUCAAUAAUUAAAGUAUAUUUGUACUUGAUGAUUAGUGUAUUAUUGGUGUGAUGUAACUUGACGUGUAGAGAAAUAAGACAUGAUUAAGAAAAUUUGCUAAAGAUUAGGGAGAAAUAGUUAAAUAGAUCUACCUUUAGUCAGAGUACAUAUACAUACCCAAUUUUUUACUCAUAUCUUUAACCAAACUAUAUAGUUAUUGAUUGCCUCAAAGAUCUCUUUUAGUAUAAGGUUUAAUUAAUGCCAAAAGCCAAUUCCUUGAAGAACAAAAAUCAUGCAUUACCAAAGUAUGUUAGAUUAUGAGUUCAAUUUAAACUUGCCUUUCUAUAUAUAUAUACUAACCUUUACUCUUACACUUGUUAAGUUUUUCAAUUUUUUAUCAUCAAAUUAUUAGACAUCAGUCCUCCAUUUUCAUUUUUUGAGGAUGAUAUUAUCCCUUGGGUAAUCUUAAUCUUAAAAUUGUAAAAGUAAAAUAACCAUAAUAAUAAAUAAAAUUGCAACUUUAACCUAUGAAAAGUUUUUGUUUCAAUGAAUUAUAAAACAUUUGAGAUAAUAUUGAAGUUUAUAAGCUUUGAGAGAAAGAAUAUUAAAGUUAUGUAUGCUUUGCAAAGUAAUUCAAUACCUAAAAUUUUUAAAUUAGUAUUUUAGAAAAGAUAAAAUAUACAAAUAUAUUAAAGUAGUAAAAGGUGAUCAACCAUUAUUUCUCCACAAUAAACUCUUGGAUUUCAAUUCCUGUAUGUCUUGCUUCUCCUUGCAAUCUCAAGAACACUUCAUCACCAACUUUAAGUGAGGUAACAGGUAUGGCUUUCUUCUCAUUAUUUCCUGCACAGCAUUGGCAUUGCCAAGCAAGAUUUAGCAAAAACAAAUAAUCAAAUCAAUAAGAGAUUCAGAAAAUCUAAACUUGAAAUGGAGCGAGUAAACACAACCUUGACCAGGGCACACCAAGGCAACUGUUUCCGCAUUCUGCAGAAGGACGCUGUAAGGAGUUUGCUCAUCUGAAUCUCUCUGCAAAUAGUUCAUCAUUCUCACAAAUCAUUUCAAACCUACUAAAUCGAACCAAACUAUCUGAGCAUUAUCGAUAAAGGAAUCCCAACCGGUAUUCUAUUAUUGUCAUGUGAAUUAUGCUUCAAAUGGAGAGUUACAAACUAUACAAAUUAAUGUAGGGUUAUAGUUGUAGCUUUCUUUAUGUUUCAGCUUCACACCAUUCAUGAGCAAGCUUUCAACUGUGGAACGUAAGGUUCAUAGUGAGCAACAGAGAAAACUAAGGAAGUUGGCUAACCGAAACAUACGAAACAUAACCUUUUCAGUUUCCCUAUUCAUAGAAACAUCAAUAGAUUUGAAAAUUGAAAUUAAAAAAUGCACGAUUUGGAUAGAAACACAAUGCGCACCUUUGCCUGGACAAGGAUCAGCUGCCUAGUCUCAAUCUUUACACGUCCAACAAUAGCAGUUCGCUGUCUGCCUUCCUGAUCAACUACAAUUACCUCGUUGCCUGCUUGUAACUCGGAAAGGUAACUAGUUUUCCCUCCCGGAACAGCUACAUAGGCAUGGACAGGUCCCUGAACAUUCACAAGAUAAUGAAAAGGGACAACAGAUUAAAGGAGUAACAUUCUUGCAGCUUGCUCUGAGAUUGAUCAUCAACUGAGCUAGAAGAUUAGGCUGAACUCACAGCAUUGACACGAAAAGGUCGGCUAGCGAUGUAAUUUGAUUCUAAGCAUUCCGAAUGAAUAAGGAACAGUCCUCUCGCAUAUGAACCGACCUACGGAAGAAUUUCAUCGAUUUACACAAAGAAACUUGAGAGCAGUUGAAAAAUGAGAAGAGGAUGGAGGAUUACAAGAAGCCCUUCGCCGGGUCUCAUGAGACUACAGAGGUCGACACAAACUCGAUCUCCCAUUCCAACCACAUGAAUUUGAGUAAUGGUAGCCUUAGUCAAAUUCAAAAGAUUACUAGCUUCGUUUCUUCUGUCAAAAUAGUCCUGGUGACAUUAUAAAUACAACAUAAUAAGGAGCAAGACUUCGAACUAGAAUAAAUAAGGAAAAAUAAUAAAUCACCUUUAGCUGAAAAACAGCUUCAGGAUCUUCAACUUUCAAAAUAACUCCGCCCAGACCAUGUUCAAGCGCCUAGAAACACAAAUGAAUUCAAUCAUACUUUUGCGAUGCCAAGAAAAUUACACAGUUCCUCAGUUGUAUUUAUUUAGUCCAUCUUUUCACUCUGAUACAGCCUCAAAUGUGCACCUCAAGAAAGAUUUGAGCCUCAAUAGGAGUUUUCGAGAUGGCAAACACUGUUUUCUGACUUCCCUGAAACGCUGCGACAAUAUUCUCUGCAGGUAUUAUCUGAAGAUAAAAACUAAGACCUAUGAGUUGCUUUAGUUCAAAUGGAGAGUCCUAAGUUGAAAGGGAAGCAGUUUCAAAAUUUUCCAUGAUGUUUCUCUAAAAAUUCUAAAUAUACAUAAACCAAAGACUUUUAAUAGAACUAUCUACAAGUAGUUUUUUCUUUUGUAAAUUUAAAACCAACCCUGCUGGAUAAAAAGGUCAUUCUGAAUCCAUAAAGAAAACCCCAGUAACCACUAAAUAAUAUAGAUUCACUAGCAGAGGGUUUAUAGACUCAUCCAAACAAAUCAAAAUUCUUUUUCUACUCCCUUUCUCUAAAUUAUAAAUUCACAACCAGAGAGAGUUGCUCAACUUGAGCACAAAUUACUGAUAUAGAGUAAUGAAAAACUAAUAUUUAAGGAUUUUAAGAUCACAAAACAAAAUUAAAAUAGUUAGAAUUAUGAGCAAAGAAGCUGUGAACCUGCCAAUCUUGUAAAUCAACAACAACAAUGUCUGCAGAUGCACGUGCUGGUUGAAGCUGCUCCAACUGCUGGGGGUUAGAGACCUCAACAACUGAGGCAAUUAGUCUAUCUUCUCCAUCUAAAACUCCAUUCUCUUUAAUAAAAAGAGGAUGUAUAAGUGCAAUUGCUGCACAAUCCAACACCAAACUUCAAAUUAUAUACCUCAUUAUAAGUUCACAGUGAUCAUGGUACUCUUGAACCAAACAUAUCUGAUAAAAGAAAUCUGUCAAAAAAUUAGAUGUGCUUGUCCAUUUCAUGCUAAACAUAUCAUUCCAUCCCGUAUUUUUGUCUUGAAUAUUUUACAUGUCUCACUUUUGUACUCAAGACAUAAACGUUAGGGAAAACUUGAACUUAAUAGUGGAACAUCCACAUUUCCACCUACUAUGUUGAACUUUAAAAAAAAAAAAAAAAAAAAGGUACCUCCAUUCCUUGAAUUUUAUUGAAAUUUUAGUACAAAUGACCCAAAUUUGGUUGCGAUAACGUCGAAUGACCUGGAUUCUAAAAACAAUGAAAACUAACCCUUCCUUAUGUCAUAAAGAACCGACCAACUUUAAAUUUCCAUUUGCAGUCGAGGGUUCUCACCCACCGAGAAUGCUUGGGAUCCCGAACGCAAUUACAAAUUGCAUUACAAUUUAUUAAAAAAUCUCCCCAGUGCCUAUUGGAGGUCGCGGUUUUCACCCAUCGUAAAUGCUUGGGAUCCCGGAUGCACUUACAAAGUGCAUUGUGGUUUUUUAAAAAAUCUGAAUUCUCGCCUUCUGUUCGGUACAAUGGUCAUCCGUUGUCGAUGACACAACUUAGUGACAUAAGCAAAAGGUUAGCUUUCAUCGUUUUCAUCAGAAUAGUUGUUAAUCGUUAGUGCAACCAAACCAAAUUUGGGUCAUUUAUACAAAAUUCUCAACCAAAGCUAUUUGGCAAAGAUAAACAAUAGUAUCUAUUUCAGAUUAACAGAAAGUGAAACGCAAAGCUUACAAGACCAUUCAUGAGCAAGCUCCGUAUUAUGAGGCGAGAAGAUGAAGGUGCUCCAUCCCCUCUCAACCGCAGCCGUCAUUACCUGCUGACACUCACUCCAAAUCCACACUCCCUUCGACGCCUCAAUCGGAGACAUUGGAGAGGAGGAGGAAGUGUAAGAACACUGUAAACGACUCACAUCCGAAGACUUACAUUCUCCAGCAUAGGCUUCGCCAAAAUCCCUCGAAACUAGGGGCCGAAGGUAUAAAUUCUCUGAGAACCCCACCAAAGAUUAAGUGGCACGCAGGUAAAUCAAUAGCAUAACAUUGUUAAAUCAAUGGAAAAGAGGAGAAAUGGGAUUCAAAAUCUUGAAUUGUUAAAGAGAAGAGACGGGAGAACCUGGUGUUUUCAGGUAGGUGAUGCGCUGUUUGGAAAGAAAAGGAGAAACGGGCGAGGAGGAACGGAGGAAGGCCAUGGCCAUCGUUUUCGUCUUAGCAACUCUAUUUCGCUCGUCCCUUUGAAAGCCCAAUGGUCCUGUGACCAAAAAAGCAGUGGGCCGUUAUAUCACCAAAAAAAACGACAAGUCGUUUAGAACAAGGCAGUGAUAACUGAGAAAGGGGUAUCCACAAAAGGGGUCGCAGUGACUGGGUCGACUGUUUACACCAAAACACCAAAGUCGGGGACUCGACAAAGUCGUAAAGAAAGGGGACUCAACAACGAUGGCUCAUUUUCAAAGGGUCAAGGAAGUUGUGGACUUGAUGACAGAAGAAUGGGCGACCAAAGUCUUAGUAAACAGUUGUUGUAAGUAACUAGUAUUACGGUUUUAAGAUUACAAAGUUUUGUGUCGUAAGUUCCAACCUGCACGAAAGACAUAAUGAUCUUGACACUGUCAUGGAUGGAGGCUCGGUUAGAUGGACAUAUCUGCAAAGAUUAGAAUGCAAGCAACCAAGAAUUGAAAAUAAAGUCCAAUGUCCUUACACUAUUUGUAUAGCAAUGUUGUAUGAAACGCAUUUGUUAACAAAAAAAUUUGAUUAAAUAUUCACACUAUCACGUAAUCUCGAUAUUCUAAAAAGAUGAUGUUAUAAAUCUCUUAUUUUAUCAAUAGAAAUAUUUGAGUGCAUCUUGAGUUGCACCUAUCUUUAUACUGUUCACCUAAGUGUUCAAUCACAAGCUGUCAUGUGACAAAUUUUUAAUUUUAAAAAAUUUAUUUACUUUUACUUAUCACCGAUAUUAAUUAUGGAGGUUUUUUUUGAAACUCAAUGAAUUUAGAAAAUGUAUAUAUUUAGCCCACAGUGGGAUACACAUUAAAGAAGGGAGAAAAGAAAAUGGUAGAAGUUUAAACAAAUAGAGAGAGCUCAAGAAUGACUCUUCUUUUAUUUCCAACCUCCAACCAUUCAUUCCAUUGAAAUGAUACAUAAUACAGAUAGCUCUCAAAAGCUAGAAGAGAAAUCUUAUUUUCAAAGCUAUAUCAUUACAAAAGAGGUUAAAAAAGGACUUAUUUGUCAGGUAAAAUAGGAUGAACAGUUCACUUAGUUGAGAACUUAAAUAGCAUAAUGUGAUUGUAAGGCUUCUUAGGAGUUACAAUGGUUGAAGGAAAAUUGUGGUGAUUCACUGCAUCAGGAAACCCUUGAGUCUCCAAACAAAGCGCAGCAUGAGCCUGGUACACGAAUCCACCCUUCCCCUUUACAUCCUUUAUAUAGUUUCCCGUAUAGAACUGCACACCGGGAACGUUUGUCGAUAGCUCCAACAUUCGUCCCGACUUCUUGUCGUGCACAACUGCUGCUUUCUUCAGUUUAUGUUCCCCAGUGCCAUCGUCCAGAGCAUAGUUUAUGUCAUAGCCUUUUGGUAGCUUGUUUAUUCUGCUUCCAACUGUACGUGGCUUGAGGAAAUCAAACGGAGUACCUUUGACAGGUUCUAACUUUCCAGUAGGGAUGAGAUUGUGAUCAACGACAGUGAUGCGGGAUCCAAAGAUCUGAAGAUGAUUCGACAGAAUAUCGCCACUGUUAUGUCCACCAAGAUUCCAGUAAGUGUGUUGAGCUAGAUUAACAGGAGUAGGCUUGUUUAGAGCUUUGGCAUUCAUUGUUAACUUCAAUUGGUUUUUUGCAAUGAGUGUGUAGGUGGCAGUCACCAAGAGAUCACCAGGGAAACCUGCAAGAAGAAUGGUGAAACAAGCAAGUUUGUAAGAGCCGAUUCGAACAUCCUCAACUGGGAUCGUUCAUGUUCAAGAGAUGGUUAAUGAUUUGCUCAUCAUAUGUAGUCUCACCUUCUUCCCCGUCGAAACUGCGGUAGGAAAAAACGAUUUGAGGAGACCUACCAUCUUUCUGAUACUUGGUCACUUUCCAGACAACAUCACUGAAGCCCCUAGUGCCACCUAAGGUUGGUAAUCACAUACGAGUUAGGUGUCAAUAUCGAUGAAAAGGCCAACGUCUCAAAUUUCAGUUGGUAUUUGAAGAAAAAAGACAUAACCCCCUCAUUCCAUGUAUAGAUGAUUAGAUUUAUAAAAAGGUCACCAAAAAACUUACAUCAAUUAACUUGAGCUGGAAAGCUAAAAAAGACAAACUAAGCAGAUUAUCAAGUCAUGUCAAAUACUGUACCAUGAAGUGUGUUGUUGCCUUCAUUAGCAAUCAGCUUGUAAAGAACUCCAUCCAGAGUGAAUUUGGCACCGCCUAUCCUGUUAGCAACUCUUCCAACAAUUGAACCAAAGUAGGUCGUAUCGUUCUGAAAAAAUAAAGAAAACUUUCAUUUGUUAUCAUGGUAGCUCUUAUAUAUUUAGUUCAAUUCUACGCCUUUCGAAGUAACGAUUUGGUCCCGAUGACAGUUUUUUUUGUUGAGUUCCAUUGUUCAGUUAAUCAUCGGAUGUUUUUAUGGCACAAAUAUAUAGACAUAGUUUAUAUACUUUAUACUAGUUGAUAACUCAUCACCACCUUUAUUUGAAAAGAGGAAAAGUUUAUAAGAGAGGAUUUGCAUUUCAUUUAUCAAUGUCUCCUCUUUUGUUGGCUGAUCCUACUGAAAAGAUAAUAUCCCAAUUAACUCAAGAGAUAUUAAUUACUUUAGUAUGACAUGCAAGCAACAAUAAAAUGAAGAAAGUAAGAGGGUCAGUGACUUCUUAGAAAUGAAUUAAAUACUUAACAAGAGGUGAGAGGGUCUACAUAUAUAUUAUUUUAAUUCAUUUUUAAUUAUGUUUAUUAAAUAUGCUGAAUAUAAUAUUAUUUGUAAACAAAGAUAGGCAACACAAAGCUCCUACUUAAUAGCCUGUUUAGGACGUUGACAUUUCUUAAAAAAUUAUAAAGAAAAACGAACACAAUAUAAUGGAAAAAUACCUAUUUAGAAGGGAAUAAUUUACCAGCAGAAAGUAUCAAAAGAAAAACCUAGUUAAGUUACAAGUUUAGUCCAACUUCUACCAUUAAGAACUUUCAGCUUCUAAUUUUAUAUUCAAUAACUUUGUAAACUUUAAAAAGUGACUCAUAUGCCCUUAAACCUUCAAUUUUGCCUCCAAUAGAACUCUAAACUUUUUAUAUAUUUUGUGUCUAAUAAGUCUGCAAUCUGUUUUGUAGUUUUGUAAUGUUAUGGACCUAUGAAACAUAAAUUUCAAUUCGUUACAUUCAAGAACUUCUUAGGUAAAAUUGAAAAUUUACAAUUAAAACUUCAAAAAACUAUUAACGAACAUGAAAGUCGAAGACAAAUGAAAAGUCAGAAAAGAACAAUCGACUGCAAAAGUUCUCUUUCCAGGCAUUAAAACUUUCUACUACCAUAGCAAACCUGUUGCAUCAUUCUACUAGCAGCAGAAACCACAAUUUUUUCUCACUUUAAAUAUCACAUCAUAAACAAUUUGAGCCACACAUGAUUAAUCAUUAUAAGGUUAUGAGAUAUUUUUAUUCCCCAUGGCUUUUCACCUUUCAAAAGAUGAAAAGUAGGAGAAAUUAUAAACCAAACAGAAAGCCAGAAUCAGAAGUAGAAGUACUAAACUUAAAAUCAGAGUAUCCAUUUGAAAAAUAAGGCUCAAAACAGCUAAAACAAGCCGUGUGGAAAAAGAAAAGCCUCACCUGAUACUCCUGAAUGGAAUCAUACCCAAGAACAACAUCAUCCAACUUCCCUGAAAUAAAAAAAGAAAGAAAAAGUCCACAAGGGAAAAAGGGGAAACAAAUUAGCAAACACAAGAACAGAAACCUUAAAAACCCCACAUGAAAAAGGACCAAAAUGGGGACAAACCAUGCUUGUCUGGAACAAGAAGAGACACAAUAGUGGCACCCCAGUUGGUAAAUUUCACAGAAAAGUCACCCCUCUUAAGCUCAAAAAUCCCAAUUUCCCCCUUCUUCUCAUACCCAUUAGCAAACCCAAAAACAGCUAAAGCAAUAACACAGAACAAAGCAAGGAAUAAUUUAGCCAUAUUUGCCCAAGAAUGAAGAAAUCUUGCCCUCCUCCAUAUCUGCUUCACGGGCCUUAUAAAGAGAAGCAUCGAAAUGGAAGAUGAUGAAGAAGAAGAAAAAUAGUAAAAUUGACAGACCCAUCUGGCUGGAAAGGGACAUGUGGGUUCUGGUUUUGACUUAGAAAACAGAAAAGAGGAAAAUUUAUUAUCAUCAAAUUGAAUUUUUGGAUGAACCAAUCAUCAAUUGAAAUGUAGUGGCCCUACUUUAUUUUGGCCCUUUCAAUGAGCAACAAGUCAAAUUGUGUCCUUUUCCCUAUGAUUUUUCUUUAGGAAAAAGAGUUUUUUAUAAAGUAGAAAGUUUAGUACUACUUAUAUUAGAAAAGAAAAAAAGUGAUUAGGACCAUGUAUAUAACAUCAUCUUUUCAAUGAAUAAUCAUUAGUAUUUAAAUAAUGGAUAUGAAGUUGCUCAAUAUAAGAGAAGGGACCAGCUGUAAGAUAAAUUCCAUUUUGCCAUAAAAAGUAUAUUAUCCUUUUAUGUUAAAAGAUCUCCAAAAAGUAGUAUUAAUCUUUUUAUUUUGUGAGAUUCUUAGAUGUUGGCUCGUGUGUUAUGGUGGAUCGUAGUUGAUUACAGCAUGAAAAAUGACCAUUUUUAGACACUGCAAGCACAAUCAAACUAAAAGUUCUUAUCAAUGUCUCACUUUAAUAAAAAAAAAAAAUGUUUAGAUUUUUCUUGAUUCUAUAACCUUGACAUUUAAUUUCAGAAAUAUAACUUAUUGUAGGAUGGAAAAUAGACAAUUUUUCUUAAAAAGUUUCAGUAUGUAUUCAUAGCAUAAACUUUAUCAACAUAUAUAGAUAUUCUUUAUUUAUCAAGACAUUCACAUACCUAAAAUAGAACAAAAAUCUCAUAUUGAUUGAACAAUAAAAGAUUAUACUUACAUAAAUGGCUAAUAAGAUCUCUUGAGCAAAUUUGUCAACUAUGUUUAAAGUGAACAAUGUUAAAAAUAUAAAUAUACAAACGGGUUUCAAUUUUUAAACAGUUUUAUUUUAAUCUCUUAGAAUAUUCUUAGGAAUGAUAUAUGGACCAUUCUCAAAUAUAGCAAAAUUAAAAAUCUAUCGUCCAUAGAUAUGGAUAGAUCAAUGAAAUUUUACUAUACUUUGUAAAUAUUUUCAAAAGUUUUAUUAUUUACAAUCAUUUUCCUUAAAACCAUGGAGUGUUUUAGUUCCCUACAAAAAGUUACUUAGCAAAGAGUGAACCUAUUACAUGUUUUUGUUUAUCCAGUAAAAUAAAAUAUUUAGAAAGAAAAUUGUAAAAAAAUAUAACAUUCGACCAAAUAUUUACACUUCAUAAAAAAUAUAAUACAAUAAAUGAUGUAUUUUAGUAGUUUUGUUCUAUUGAGUAUUGGUCGUUUAUCAAAUUUUUAUUAUUAUUUUUUUUUUAAAUUAAGAUAAAAAUUGGAAAGCUUGCACAAAAUAACAAAAAAAAAAAAAAGAAGUAACAAGUUUAAAAGUCCAUGACCUUCUAAAAUUUUUGUCAUCUGAAAAAAUGAUAAAAUAAAAUAAAGAAGAUAUUUAAGAGGGGUCAUUUUCAUUGUCACAUGGGGCAUAUUUAAAUAGACAAUUUGAAAUUGCUAAAUAAAUAUUGACAUGAAGUCCUUACGAAUUAUGAUGUGGGAAUAGCCAGCAUUUAGAUUCUUUCGAUCUUAAUUAACAAACAGUGCUAAAAAAAAGGAUGACUUAUCUACUCAUUCAUGAAGACUACAUGGAUAUAUAUAUAUAUACACAUAUUCUAAUGCUUUUUCCCCUUAAUAUUAUUAGAAUAUGCAAGUUGGUCAUGUUUGAAACUAUAUUGCAUUUAAUUUGUGUUCUUUAAUGCCAUUUUACAUUGCCCAAAGUUGAGAGAUUCUUUUACUAUCAUUUUUCAAUUAUCACAUUUGAGUUGUCUAUAGAAAUUUGCAAUAUAGACCCAAUUCUUUUUUUAGUUUCUUGUUGCAUGUUACAUGUUAAUUAAUAUAAUAGGUUAAGUUUUGUUUAAUUUCCAUUUUUUAUUCUUCUAAUUGUUGUUAACUUAUUUGCUAAUAUAAUGGAAAAACCUUACAUUUACUAAUGUAGAUAACGAAUAGAAAAGGCAUUUACUCUGUAGGGAGGUAGUAUAUUAUAUCUCAUUUUAUACCUUUAAUUAUUAUUUUGGCAAGCACCACCUAAUUUACAUAUUUGACAAGUUAACCAUCGUUUUAAAAUUUUUAGUUGAAUACGUACGUAUGAUUCAAAUUUUAGGUUAGUUAUUAAAAGACAACUGAAAUUUUAAAAAAUAAAAAGAGAUAAUCUACUUUAUCCAAAGAACAAAACUAUUCAUAUAAUUUGUCCAAUAGAUUAGUGCUCUGUAUUGCACUAAUGUUUGAGUUGACUACACCAAAUUCAAUAUUUUAAUUUUCCCAACCAAAUUCAAUAAUUAAUUUAGCCCUAAUAAAAAACAAUUCGCUAUUUCAAUUUCCUGACAAAAUUAAUAAUUGUUUAAAGCAAUAAAAAAAUGUUUUGAGUCUUUCACAAUCUUCAAGUUCUUCCUUGAAAAUGUGGAUUAGAAAAGAACAUAUAUUUUAAGUAAAGAUGAUAAUCCAUUAAAUCAACACACACCAUCUUCUACCCAAAUCCUUCCAUGGCGGAUUCUCAACUCUUUCGCACUGAUCACCUUUUUACACUCUUCUUUUGCCUAUAUUCUCUUCUCAUUGUUACUAACGUAAGUCUCUCUUUCUUCCAUCUCAAUCUCAUGUUCGAGAGUAAUUUUUAUAGUAUACUUCAAUUCAAUUCACUUUUAUUAUAAGAUUUUGAAAUUAUUUUUAUAUGUACUCUAUUAAUCUCUUCGUUCUAAUCAUUAGUUCGUCAGGCAAUAAAUAUAUUCUAAGUUUUUUAUUUCUCGUUCUUCCUUCUCGGCUCGGCUAGGUUGAAGGCAACUGGCUGAACCACGGCGGAGAUUUGAAGAACAGAAGAUACGCCAAUAGAGAAACCAAAAUCAGUCCAUCAACAGUUUCCCAUCUCCGUUUGAAGUGGGAGUUUUACGCGGGUGGCGACAUUUCUGUUACGCCCGCGAUUUAUGAUGGCGUGAUCUAUUUUCCAAGCUGGAAUGGGUUUCUCUACGCGGUUAGAGCUUCCAAUGGAGCUCUUCUUUGGAAGAAGAAUCUCCAAAAACUGACGGGGUUCAACAAUACCGGAUUCAUUCUAAAUGUGAACUCCACGGUGUCGAGAUCGACUCCCACGGUGGCAGGAGAAUUGGUAGUGGUUGGAAUCUAUGGACCGGCAGUGGUCAUUGGCGUUAAAAGAUCAACAGGGAAGCUUGUGUGGUGUACAAGGCUGGACUAUAAAAAUAGAAGUUUCAUCACCAUGUCUGGCACUUACUACAAAGGGUUAGCCAUUCUCAUCUCAACCUUUAUUUGUUUAUUUACAUUUUUUCCUAUUCUAAAUGAUUCUAAAGAGCUCGAUUAAUCAAAUAUAACCCAAAGUUAGUAAGAUUAAAUUUUAUUUUCAUAUAUUCCUAUAAGUUACAUUAGAAUGUGAUGUUGUCAAUGCUUUGUAUAAAAAAUCUGUCAAAUAUAAAACAAAAAUAAAUAAAAUGUUAAUACAAUGUUAAAUUGUCAAACUUAACCAUUUAGAUCGAUUUGAUGUAGCAAUAAACAAUAAAAUAUCAUAAUGUAAUAUAUUAAACUUGUAUAUAAAUAGUAAAAAUUUUGGAAUUUUUUCAAAAAUAGAAAAAUACACAAACAAUUUACAAAUUCAUUUUCGGUCUGUUUAUUAUAAUUAGAAGCAAUUAACUGAAAUUUUUUUAUUCUGACCUUCGAAAGAAAAUUAUUCUAGAAAAUUUAAUUCUUUAGCAAACCACUGUUUAAUAAUUAUGGUCAUCCAAUUUAACUAUUAUUAGCAGUUUAAGUACAUUGUAUAAAAAAUUUAACAUAAAAUUCAAUUUUUAGUCUAUGCAAAAUCUCCUAAUAGGUUAUAAUUGACCUAUAAAGCUGUAAUUGUAUUAUUAAUCAAUUUAAAAAAUUACUAGAAAAUUCGUAUAGUUCUUUUCUAAAACAAAAAAAAAAAAAAGACAAAAUAUUUAUAGUUAAAAUAUCGGAAGUGGGUUAAUAUAAAACUAAAGAAAAUAAAAAAUAAACAUAUAAUAAAUUGUCAAAAGUAUAAAAUAUAAAAAAGACAAAAUAUUUAUAAUUAAAAUGUCAGAAGUGGGAUUUGAACCCACGCCCUCGUUAGAGGACCAGAACUUGAGUCUGGCGCCUUAGACCACUCGGCCAUCCUGACUUUCAUGUCAUUUGACUACAAAAAUUAGUAUUAAAUAAAUCAAAGUAAUAGAAUGUUAAAUAAUGCAUGUUGAGAUAUGUUAUUAAUUAAUAUUUAACAAUUAUUUGUAAAUAUUUUUAAAAGUUCUAUCCUUUAGAUUAAUUGUUUGUCACUAUUAAUCGGGUGUGAAAUUUUAUUUCUAGAUUAACUUCAAAUAACGAUGGAACAAUUAGUUGUAAGAUACAUAGCUGAUAAUUAAUUAAUAAUAUUAAAGUGUAAAGUAUGUUAUUGUACAGAAGUUUUUUCAUUGGAACAUCCUCACUAGAAGAAGGGCUUCCCGUUGAUCAAUGUUGCACAUUCCGGGGAAGCUUCUCCAAACUAGAUGCAAAAACGGGUGCCAUCCUGUGGCAAACCUUCAUGCUACCCGACAACCACGGCGAUACUGAACAAUACUCCGGUGCGGCCAUUUGGGGCAGCAGCCCCUCCAUCGACCCCCUUAGGAAUCUUGUCUACAUUGCCACUGGAAACCUCUACUCGGCACCCCUCCGUAUACGUGAGUGCCAGGAAAGACAGAACAACCAAACCGAACCCACACUGCCCGAUAAAUGCAUUGAACCCGAGAACCACUCCAAUUCAAUUCUGGCUCUUGAUCUUGAUUCCGGUGAUAUUAAAUGGUAUAAGCAAUUGGGUGGAUAUGAUGUGUGGUUUGGUGCUUGUAACUGGCAUUUGGACCCUAGAUGUCCACCUGGCCCUAGCUCCGACUCGGAUUUUGGGGAGUCCCCAAUGAUGUUAAGCGUGUUCGUGCGUAACAUGAAGCGUGAUAUUGUCGUUGCUGUUCAGAAAAGUGGAUUCGCGUGGGCUCUUGAUCGUGACAAUGGCAAUCUCGUCUGGUCUAAGGAAAGUUUUAUUCCCUUGGUAGAUUAUGUCAUUUGAAUUAGUUGUUUUCUUUUACAAGUUCAAAGUACAAACAUGAUCCUAUAUGCUUUGUUUUGGCAAUUUGAAUUAGAUUUAUUUGUAUUUUACGUACAAAUAGAUCUAUUACUACGUUAUUAUGUAUUCUUUUAAGUCGUCUUCUUAUUUUCUCAAUUUUCAGGAGGCUGGACCAGGAGGUCUUGGCGGGGGAGGGAUGUGGGGGGCAGCAACAGACGAGAAAAGGGUAUACACAAACAUAGCCAACAGCCAACACAAGAACUUCACACUCAAACCAACAAACAAAACCACAAUUGCAGGAGGAUGGGUGGCAAUGGAAGCUAAAACAGGCGACAUCAUUUGGUCGACAGCAAAUCUUAAGGAAGCGACCGCUCCGGGACCUGUUACGAUAGCCAACGGGGUAGUGUUUGCAGGAUCUACAUAUCGGCAAGGACCGAUCUAUGCAAUGGAUGCGAAGACGGGGAAGAUUGUUUGGUCAUAUGAGACAGGAGGUAGUGUUUAUGGAGGGAUAUCAGUGAGCAAAGGGUGCAUUUAUGUUGGGAAUGGUUACAAAGAACAUAUUGGAUUUGUUAACAAGAAUUACACAGCUGGGACCUCCCUCUAUGCCUUUUGUGUCUAAGCCCUUUCUCUCAUUUUAUAAUUUGAUUUUUAUUAUUGGGAUUAUGUUGAUUUUUGUGUUAUUUUAAUCUGGAUUCAAAUUAAACUUCCUCAAUUGGCCCGAAGAAGAACCAUUGAAGGUAAUUGCACGUGUGUUUUGUUGUAUCGUAUAUUUAAAAAUUCAACAUUUAAAAUAUAUUAAUGUACGUCAAAACUUUAUAUUAAAAUGCAUACAACAUUUUUUAAUUAGAAAAAUAAAUGUUGUAUGUAUUUUGCGAAAAAAGAAAUACACACCAUGAGCGAAAAAGAAAAAAAAAUGAGAGAAUGAAUCUAAUUAGAACUUCAACAUAGAAUAUUAAUUUCUGAAUAGCUAAACGCUAAUAAGAGUCUAUGAGAUAGAAACUAAUAAAAGUGUGUUUGUUAAUAUUUUUUAUAUAUAAAUAGUUUCACAUAUUUGUUCUGUGAGAAAAUUUUAGUAUUUACAAACAACUAAUGUAUACUAACUCAUCUUUUAUCUUUGUCUAGAAGUGCAUCAAAAGAUUCAUUCUCACGUUCCAAUAUCGUUGUACUAAAAUCAAUUGCGUCUAUUUGAAUGUCAAUCUACAUACAAAGGUUAUAGAUAUCUAUUUGAGUCUCUUUUUUUUUUUUUUAAUUUUGUUUGUGUAUAAAUUAACUCUGCUUGCUGUAUUUAAAAAUAAAAUCUAUGAUCUAUCAAUAUAGACUACCUACAGUAAAUUCUAAAAAACUUUCCAUAAUUACUUGUACAAAAUUACUAUUUGUCUAACAAAAAAAUCAAGUACAGGAAAAUCUGAAAAGAAGUUUUUUUUAAAGGUGAAUCUGUUAUAUAUGUAUAACAGUAUAACAUCAACAAACUGGGAGAACAUAACAAAUUCAAACUCCUUUUUACUUGUCCUUUUCUAACUUGACUAUGUACAUACAAAGAUGAUUAAAAACAGUAAGAAGGGAAAAAAGUACCUAAUUCAUGUUCCACUAAGAAGAAAGAUCAAUAAAAGAAGCUUCUUUUGUUUUUCUUUUCUCUCUCUGUUUUUUUUUUUUUUUUCUGGAAGUAGAAAGUAAACAAAUGCACAGAAAUGGAAGAAGUCUAUGACAGCAUUGUAUGGAAUGAAGACGAUUUAUUUUGCAGUGUUCAUCGAGUCUCUACUAUCUUUGGCCCUUCGUACAAUGCUCCAACUGCGGCUAAGUCUUCAGGUUGCUCUCUUUCUUCAAGCCAUGCGUAGCUUUCCCUUUCUGCUUCGGGGACUGAAAUCCUAUCGACUGUGAUUUUUCAAACAAAACCAUGAUUUCAAACAUCUGCUUCAUCUAGUUUAUGGUAAUAUAAGACCCUAUGAAAGGAAAGUCACAAGGUACCUGAAAAUUCGGUGAAGGGAAAGUCAAGGUAGUAUGAACAAUGCCGACCAUCGGGAUCGGAGUAAGGGGGGCCGAGCACAUCUAACACUGCACAUGCAGUCACAGCCGUGAAGCAAUGCAUGUUUCCUCCGUCUGCAGGGUAAAGAAUGGACGAGUCACACGGUGCUGUGAAGUCUGCAUCUACCUUAACUUUGGCUAACCGAACACCUGGAGAUGUUGAACAACACAAAUGCAUAUAGAUUGUCAUCCUACUUGCUUAAAAUCAUUAAGACCAUAGUUAUGUAUGAAUAUGACUGAAAAUUAGGUGAUCUUCUCUAAAUUGUCGUAUUAUAUCAUAUGAUCCAUGAAGUCCUAAGUACUUUUAAAGAUGAAGGCCACAAGGUUUAAGAUACUUUCUAAUAACUAUACGAGUAUACCUCUUGAUUACCCUAUGAAAUGACUAUUAGUAAAGCCAUUUCGAGAUCUUCCUGUCAUUGGGACCCCAUUAGUUUUCCGGUCCACCUCCAUUUAUUGUUUGCCACAAAGCAUUAUUUAAUAAUUAUGUGCGGUCGACGAAAUAGAUGAAAAAAAAUUAUCAAAUCAUUUGAUGAAGUGUCAACUAAUGAAUGAGAGUAGUAAGAUAGUAGUAUAACUUAGUUUUGGUUAUGAAACAGACAACACAGACAAAUACCCAUCAAUCACCGUCAAUCUAUAAUAGACUUAUAGAUACUUCCAUCAAUUCAAACCUAUUGCACGUUCUUUCUUCAUAAAUGAUUAAGAAAUGACAGUUAAUUCAACCAAUUGCAGAGAGAGCAGAGAGAGCAGAGAGAGCAGAGAAAGAUAUUGUACGAAGACUCACUUCUUGAAGGAGCUGUGCCACUUGACGUAUCGACACAUGCAGAUGCGCCAUUAACAGCACCAGCCUCUGCCCAGUCGUACGCCUUGAUGUGCAUGGUUCCAAAGAGAAGCUUGCUAAAGACUGUCAUUCCAGGAUGGUUGUGAAGUGGAAUGACACCUGAAGGAGGCAAGCAAAAUAUUCCCAUCUGUGCCACAAAUAUAAAUUCAAAUGGUCAAAACUACAUAGGUUAAAAGUAAAUUUCCCCAACUAGACUGCUUUCUCAUAAACCAACUGAAAAUACAUACAGAGAAUUUGUUGUUCUCAUAGAGGUGCAAAUAUGUUAUCGGGGGAGUUCGUUGACUGGAUGUCGUCCAAAAAUACGGCAUGUCCGGCGACAACCCAACAUCUACUGGCUUCAUUUUAUCUAUAUAUACAAGAAGAUUCAUUAGUAACAAAAAAAUCCAAAAGCCAGUAACACAAAGAAAGCUUUAAGUGUUGCAUUGUGUCUACCUUUGUUUCCUAAAUUUUAAGGUUCAAAAGAAACCAAUUGGAUUUGAUUGGUUUAUUCUAAAAAACUUCCCAGAAGCUUCUAAUUUGCAUUAGAACAUAAAAAAUAUUGAGUUAGAGUAGAGUAGCUUAUUCUAUAUAACAAAAAUCCUCUGUGGAACUUGAACCAAUUUGCACUUUCUAAAUGAUCCGCAUAUGUAGUCAUUGAAUAGACAAAAAAACCAAAUCAUUAUCCAACUAAAAUAAAUCAAAGCACCAAUAUCUAGAACAGAAACCACAUAACAGCCAAAAAAAAAAAGCCCAGCACGUGCAGUAGGAGUGCAAGUUGCCACAAACAGCCCAAAAGACAGAGCUAAAAUAUAUAUAUUUGUUUACACCCACAAUCCAACAGGACAUUGAAAAGUACAAAUAAGACUAAGGAGAAUGAAUAUGAAACCCCAUGAAAAAUUCAUAUAACCCAACACAAAAGCUUUGCACAAACGAGGUACGUACAGUUCGUACGGAUUAAACCCCCCCCCCCCCCCCUUAAAAAAAGAAAAAGAAAAAAACUGGAAACAAUCCUAUCGUCACAACACGAAACUACAUUAUGAAUUAGAAUUAAGAAUUCAGCUCAACCCACAAUGAGAAUUCAUCAAAUUAGGGAUUUCAUAAAUAAAGACAAAAAGAAAGACAUACCCAAAACAGCUUGUAGGCGUUCGAUAUCUUCAGAAGAAGGAACGAUUCCAGUCCCACUAGAAGCAAAAACUUUCUUGCAAGUUUCGUAGAGUUUCUGAACGGGUAACGGAGAGGAAGAUCUCCUCAUCCGCCGCCGACUCUUUCUGGACUUGUUAUUCGUAGUAGUUUCUUUAGGCAAUUCACAGAACUGUUUCCCUUUGCGAUCAGCCAGAGACCUCUCAAUCCCCAUUAAAGCAACAAGGAGAAGGGUUGGAAAGUGAAAUGAAGUGGGCAGUUAAGAAAAUUGGGGGAAAAAGGGUAGAAGAAAACGGGGAUCUGGAUAGAACCCAAUAGAGAAAAGAAAAAGAAAAAAAAAGAAAAAAAGAAAGCGAAGAAGAAACAGGGGAAGAGGAGGAGGAGAUAGAGAAGGUACAGAUUAGUACAGGUUGAAAGGAGAUGUCAAAAUGGGCAUCUCCGAAUGGAGAAGAAAAGGGGAGAAGAGAGAAAGAAGGGGUAUAAAAGGAAGGAGGUUUUAGCAGGGAGAGAGAUAGAGAGAGAGAUGGGUUUGAAGAAGAGAAAACCAGGGGCCAUUCGUAUCAUUCCAGUGGGCUGUUCCAAACAGCGGAUUUUUCUUUCCUUUUUUUUCUUUUUUUUUUAUUUGGUGAGUUUUUUUUUCUUUCCAUUUUAUAUAAAUAUAUAUAUAAUCUUUUUAGCCUCUGCUUCUACUAAAUUUCACACUCAAUUCUUUAUGCUAUUAUUCUAUUUCUAUUUCUUUGCCAUUUCAAUCAUUCACGGGUAAAAUUAUUAUUUUUUAUUUACCUUAAUCUCCAUAUUAUGUUUUAGUAAUUUAGUCAAACUCUGAUAAAUCCAGAUAGAAAUUCGAAUAAAUAGUUCGAAAAAAUUGUAAGUAAAUUAAUUGAUUUUUUUGGUGUAGAUUUGAAUAAUAGGGGUCUGAACUCUCGAUUUUGAAUUUAGUAUGUAGGUAAAUUUUACACGGUAUUAUAUUUUAGAUGGUAAAUUUAUAAUUUUGAAAACUUAGAUAUGUAUCAAAUUGCCACAAUCAAACUUUCACCAUUAAAUUUGUAAUUUAUUAUUUUAUUUAAUUCUUCCUUUCGUUUUCUUUCAUUUGGAAUUGAUACGAUGGAGACAAUUUUCCUUGAUUUCAUACAAUGUUAGGUUAAAAUUUAAUAAGUUAUAUGAAAUUUAGCAAACUUAGUUUAGUUGUUUACCAAUUUAUUUUUAAAUAGUUAUCAAGAUGGAAAUUGGAAUCUUACAACUUUUUAGAUAAAAAUACAUUUUUAAUUCUUAAACUUCGUUUAUAUUUUUCGAUAAUUUUCAAUUUUUCUUACAUAUAUUUUAGCAUUCAACAUUUUAAUUCUCAAAUAAAUUCUUAAAAUAAAAACAUGUUUUAAGACCUUGUUAUAGUUUUCAAAAUAUUGAAACCUAACAUACAAUACAAUGGCUAAUAGCUAAAAUUUAAGAGCGUGAACUUAAUUAUUUCAUAAUUUACUUUUUAGUUAUCAUAAAUUAGCAUAAUUACAUAAAUGCUAGAAGAUUUUAUCUCUUUUUUUUUUUGUCGAUGAUACGUAGAAUUGAAGAAUCAAAUGUUUAAUAUUUGAUAUCUUGAUACGUUGAACAUCUUUUAACCCAAUUUUAUAAACACAGGUAUCUAUUUAUUCAAAAAGCUUCUAAUAUGUUUCCUAUCAAAUUAGAAUGAUAAUUAUACAAUUGUACCAUAUUAAAUUUUAUUUGAACAUCACAAAUAAAUAAAAAAAGAAGAAAACAAAUUGUAUGUUAGCCAAAUUAAACAAAUGAUAUGGUCCAUCUUUUUUAAGGAAUUUUAUAUUGAUAUUUAUGUGUAAAAUUGGUCCUGAGAUUUAAAUAAAUAACCAUUUAGCUUUUGAACCUCUAAAAGCCCCUUUUGGUGAAACUUUGAUUCCCUAGAAUAGUAAAUAUUUUAGUAUAAAUAGACAGAACAAAAAAAGAAAUUGCCAAAAAUAUAAAAUUUUACAAAAUAGUUAUAGUUAAUAAAAACUAAUGAAUUUUAUCUUUUCUCCUAAAAAGAUAAGAAUAUUAUAGUAUAUUUUUUCUCUUUUAUGAAAAUUAGUGAUUAUGGUAAGUUAAUUAUUUCAUGUAUUAGAGUGAAUUGAAUCAUAAUUUUGAAUUACUUUUAAUAAGUUUGGUAGAUCGCGUUAUAAUAAUUAGCAAUGAAGUUGAAUAAAGAUUCUUUUUUAAAAAAAAAUUAAAUUAAAAAUUAAAAAUUCUAACUUUUUGGUAUCUGUUAACAAUUUUUUAAAAGCUUAAUUUAGAUAUCCUAUUUAUUCAUCUUUAAUUUAUCAUUAAUCUUUUUAAAAUUUUAUUAAAAUUAAGUUGGUGUGACUUGAUCGUUUAUAGUUUAUAAUAUAUAUAUGGUGACAUGAAAUUAUUUUUAGGAAUUUAGCUAAACUCUUAAUUAUAAAUUUCUUAUAGCAACGCAUCACAAAUAAAUGUAAAUCUAACAUUAGUAUAUUAAUGUUAUAAAAAAAUUAUAGGUUUUAGAAAUGGGGAAAUUUUUUUGAAGAAAUCAACUCUCAAGUAAUUAUUUUUUUAAAGUGUUUUAAAACUUUAAGGCAUUUAAAUAUAAUAUGCAUUAUUCAAAUAUAGAUAAGGGCUCAUCAAACAUUUAGAAAAAAUAAUUAAUGUUCUACUUGAUAAUUACUUGAAUUUUUUUUAUUUUUUUGUAUUUUAAAUAUAAUGUUUGUUUCCCCUACCAUUUAUAUACUAUGGUCUUUAUUUUGUUUUCCAUCUUAACACCAUUUGAAUUAAAAUGAUAUAAAAUCAGAAAAAACAUAAAAUUAAUUUAAACUAGUAAAAUAUUUUGAAUUUAAAAUGUAUAAUUAUGUGAAAUUAUAAUUAAAGAAAAUAGUAGUCAAUGAUUUUUUUAAACCCAUCCUUAUCCUUAAAAACUUGGAGACUAAUUUUUUUAAAAAAAUACAUUUUAGAAACUCACAAAAUAAAUUACCUAUUAUAGAAAGUUAAAACUGAAAUACUAAAUGGACCUAAGAUUUUCAAAUUUGAAACUAAAAAUAUUAGUUUUUUGCUUUCAAUAAUUUAUGACUGUAUUAUUGGAUUGAAACUGUGUGUAACACAUUUAAGUUGAAUUAGGAGAUAAAGUAGAAAUUUGAUUAUAUCAAAAUAUUUAAAUAAAAUGAUCUCCACCUAAAUUUACAUAGUUUUGUUAGAGUGAAAAAGAUAAGAGAGAGAGAGAAAACAGAAAGAAAACAAAACUUCCAUUAAAUGUUGCCAAAAAUAAUCUAUGAUGUAUGUGUUUCAUUGACCAUAAAUGAGAACUACAAUACCUUUACUUUUCUUUUUAUCCCUUUCAGACCAAGAUAGUACUUUAAUUUCCAUAUGGAAAUUGUUGCAAUCAAAAUCAAUGACGUGUUUUUUUUUUUUUUUUUGUGCUUCUUCUUUAGUGGCAAAUGUUGUUAGACUUAAUGUACAUAGAAAUUUAGAACUAAGCAAAAAUGAUGGUGACAUCAGAAUUGUAGAAAUGCAAGAAAAGUGUAAACAUAGAGGAGAAGACUUAAGAGGGAGAGAGGAGUUGGGCCAAAGAGUUCACCCAACUCGUCCACCUUAGCCCCGAAGGGUAAGAGGGUGAGGCUGAAGAGUAGACAUUUUUAAUCCUCUCUAGAUUUUGAAUCCUAAGUCCACCUCCACUGUUUAUGUAUUUCUUUCUUUAUUUUUAUUUUUCAAUUAACUUAUUUUAUAAGCAUAUUUAAGGACACAAAUGUUAUCCAAAUGGCGUAUACUUUAACAUUUAUCAUUUUUAAUAUUAAAUAAACAUAGGCAUCAUAAAUAUGCAUGUGUUUCACAAUUGACACGACUAGGUAUAACUAAGUUGAAAUUGAUUACUUUCAACUAAAGGGCAAAAAGGUAAAAUUGGUUCUAUCCACCAAACCAACAUUUGAAUGCUGGAAUUGAUAAAACAAGGUUGGUACAUAAAUACAACACAAUAAAAUAUUAACAAUUUACUUUAUACUAUAGUACAUGAGAUAUCAAUUCCAUGUAGUAUAUGUUGUACACUUUUAUUAAAUCACAUGUUGACGAUUUUUUUAUUAAAACAAUCCAACCACGUAAAUAAACACAUUACAAAUUUGCAACAGACUACAAUCACAAAAUUUAUUAUUAAUCGUAAAAUUACUAAAAUUAUUUAUCAAAUAUAGUAAAAUGGUAAAAUAUAUCACUAAUAUGUCAUAAAUGGUUAUUGCAAAACUUAAAAUAAACUUAUGUAUCAAUCAAUUUACAUCUUGCAAGAAAAAAUAAGUUAAAUUUCAGAAAAUCAUUCCACGAAUAAAAAUACACAACCAAUUAGGAAGGAAUUAGAAUGAAUGCAUCCUUAACUUGUGUAAUCUAAAAUUUUGAUUUUAAUGGUCAACAUAAACUCAAUUCACACUAGUAGACAAUUGUGAUAUGAAAUACGGCAUUUGUGUAACAAUUUUUCAUUUUCUCAAGAUAUGAAUAUAAAAAAAUCAUAGUGUGACUCUAUGACUCAUAUUGAUCAAAUCAGUUUCACAAUUUAUAAAAGUGACUUUUAUUCAAAUUAUAUAUAGACGUGAUAUUGGGUCAAUCAUUCAAAAUGUAUAGUUGUAGCUUAACUUCACAUAGCCACGUUUUUAUUUUUACUUUUGUAAAAGCAUUAUUAUGUUCUACAAUUUUGGUGAGCAUAUAAAUGUGUUCUAUAUAUAACACAACUUUCAAAUUUAAUUGCCUUAAUUAUAAACUCUAAACUAACACAAACCAAUAAUCUAAACUGAAAAUAAAUAUUUGAUCUAACUGUAUACACCAAUAAACAUUAAUAUACUUUUAUACUUUUGCGUAAGUCUAUCAAUUGAAAUUUUAUUAUAUUUAUAAAUAAUUGAAAUUUUUAUAUAUUUAUCAAUAUUUUUUUAUAUGUUUUUCAUUUAUCAAAAUUUUCAUAAGCCAAUAUUCUUAAUAUAUCCUUUGGUUGUUUAUUUAUGGCAAAGAGAGAGAAACAAAUAAGUUGUCAACAAUUACGUUUUUUAUAUGCAAAAGUACGUAUAAAAACGUUGAUCUUUUAUUAGAUAUAUCUUUUUUAAAAAAUAAAAUAAGAGUAAAAGGAUUUUUUUUUUUUGUGAAAAAAGCAUCUCUUUGAAAUUUGUGUAUGUUUUGAUUUUUAUUUCCCUUUCCAACGAAAAGAGGGUCACUUUCCAAAAGAAAUGAAGUCCUAAUUCUCUUAUGAUUGUGAAUGUUGGAGGAAAAAAAAUGGUUCCUUUUUCUUUAUUCAUUCCUUCUAGAAGCACACCCAUAUUUAUAAGUUAAAUAAACACAGUUGGAUAGGUUUAUACUAUCAUCACCAUAUUAUGCAUAACUUAAAUAAACAUAGUUCGACUUAUAUAAAAAAUAUAUACUAUAUCAAUUGAUUAUUUAUAUACCUCUACCUUUAAAUAUAUCAAUGUAAUAUAAUUUUUUAUAAAAAUAUAUUAUAUUAGAGAGAAUUAAUAUUUAUUAUAUAUUUAAAUAUAAGAUCAAGCAGUUUUUUUUAAAAGACAAACUUUGAAACUAUUUUUUUGGUACCAUUUAGAGGAAGCAAUAAUACACAAUUUAACCCUAAAAAGGAAAGUUUUUUAACCAUAAAAUAUCAAUUAAGGUUUUUUUUAACUCUAAUUAAUUUAAUGAUUUUAAAGAUUCAUAAUAAUAUAGUCAUAGCCAAUUGUACCCUACUAAGUCAUAUAUGUCUGCACACACAAGCACAUCUUUUCCAUUACAUGCUCUAUUAUUUAUUGUUCAUUUUAAAUAUGACAAAUGAAGUAUGUGACCUUAAAUAUCUAACUUCAAACCAAGUACAAUUAUAUGUUUAAUUAUUGUUACAUUGCAAGUAUAUUAUAUUGAUACACAUAUCCAAACCACAUGACUAUGUUAUGUAUCUAUUAAAAAAUUGGACAUGAAAAAUAUUAACAAAGUUAAAAUAGUUAUUUCUUUUUUAAAAAGAGUUAUUAAGUUUAGUAUAAGAAAAUUAAUAAAUUAAAAUAUAUUUUUUUAUUUAAAUAGUAAUUAUUUUUUUUUCCUAGAUGAGAAAAAUGUUAUAAAACUGAACCAACUAAUUUACUUAAUUGAUUCAAUAUACUUAUUUUUAUUUUUCCUAUAUUUGAAUAAAAAUAAAUUUUGUGAAUACAAUACAUGAUAUUUAAUCGAUGCUUGUUUUUAUGUUUAAUGUUACUUUUUAAAAUCGAUGAAAAAUUAAUUAAAACUAAAUUUAUUGUUUUUAUAUAUUUAAUAUGAUGAGCCUUUCGUGAAGAAAGAAAAGAAAAUUUAAAAUAAAUAUAACAUUUUGAAACACAAACAGUAAAUGUAAAAAUUAAAUUAUAGAGAGUUUAAAUCAAUUCAAUAUUCAAAAUUUAAUAUUUUAGGAGCUGGAUGGGUAUUGAAGAAGAGAAGUAGAUUAGAUUAUGUUAUAUAAUUGAAAAAACAAAAGAAUUAAAAAGGAAAAUUAAAUAAAGUUGUUUAUUUGAAAUGAAAUUGGAACGUGAAUUAUGGGUUACGAAAGUAGAGAUGGAGAGAAGCGAAAGAAAGGUGGAGAUAUUUAGAAAGGAAAUAAGAAUUAAAAAAAAUUAAAAAAUAAAAGAAAGAGUAGGGGAAAAGGUAAGGAAAUUGAAAUAGUUAAGAAAAAGGAAAAAGAAAGCAAAAUGAAUUGAGAAUGAGUACCUAUAAUAGGAGGACACGUUUUAAAAGAGGAACCAAUUAAAGGAAGGUUUCCUCGUACCCGUCAAAAGGAAUCCCUCCAUUAUUAUUAUUCAAUUCUUUAAAAUAAAGAAGAAGAGAGAGACGAUAAGCCUUAUCUUUCUUUUAUUUAUUAUAUUCAAAAACAGUUCUGAGGGAUGUAACGUGCCCGAGCAUGGUCUCACGUGGACGCCAGGUGUCAUGCCCAUGACGUGGCUCAUCCAAUCAUCAUUUCCCUCUUUUGUAAUUUUAAGCAAAUAAAUACAUAAUCAAUCUAAGACUCUGUCUAUGUAUGUGGGUCCUCGUCGUUUGUUGGUCUACAAUUUCUCUAAUUUCUCGCCCAUGCAUCACUCCUCACAUCCGCCACUCGCCCCACCGGACAUCCCAUUUCUCAAUUUCAUUUUUAUCCACAAUUUUCAACAUAUAUAUAUAUAUAUAUAUAUAUAUUAUUUUCACUAUUAAAUAUCAAUCUACACGUCCACCUUCAGUGCAAAAAUAAGAAAUGAUGUAUCAUUCAUUCAAUCUUUCCAACAAUCUAUCUUUUCUCUGACUAAUAUUGAUUUUAGUCGUCAAGCUUUUUACAAUAUUUUUAAACUUAUAACUGAGUUAUAUAUUCAAUAUAUAAUUAACAUAUGUAUUUAAAAUUAGAGAUGGAAGUUAAAACAUUUUGAUAAGAUGUAUGCUUUUAACUCUACCGGCUUGCAAUUUUAAUGUAAGUAAUAUAUUCUAAAUAUAUAUAUAUAUAUAUAUAUAUAUAAUUUUAGAAUACCUUUAAAAUUUUCAUUUUUUAAUGCAAAAUAUAUAUCCAUUAAUUAUAAUCAGUGUGUUUAUCUUAAAGAUUCACGUGCAACACGCAACUCCAUUCGACAAUUAAUAUUACUUUUUAUUUUGUAGUUGCUAAACGCAUAACUAGCAUGAAGACACGUCCACUAACCAUUAGAACAGUCAUACAUUCAUGCCUUUUCUAUAUAUAAAUAUUUAUUUUAUUAUAAAAGUGUGAAUUGAUUUACUAUUUCUUUUUGUUUCCAUCUUUUAUUGUUAAAUUUUUUAAAUAAAAACAUACAUUAAUAAUAAAUUUAAAUAUGAGUGUUAUACAGUUGAACCUUAAAUUAAGAGUUGUAACAAUAUUAAUAUUUAAAUAUGAGUGUUAUACAGUUGAACCUUAAAUUAAGAGUUGUAACAACUUUGAGAUUGUAUCAAAUUAAACCUCAAACUAAUAAUUAUAUAGAAUUAUAAUAUUGAAAUUUUACAAAUGUACCGCCAUUUAAGCUCUUCAUUUUCAUAAGUGUAUCUAAAUUAAUAAAAUAUGAUUGAACUUCUAAAUUGUUUUGUUUUGAAAGCCUAUAAGUACGAAAAGUCUAUACAAAAAUUUAAAAUUUGUUUAUCAGCUGUGAAUGUAAAUGAAAGCAAGAAUUAGAAGUAUCAAAAGAGAUACUUUGAUUUAAUUUAUAUAUGUUGAAUGAUUAUUCUAAACAAAAACAAAGUUUUUGGGAGGACUAAAUUAAAAGGGUAAUUAUUAUAAUGACCAAACUUUUCACACUUAGAUCACAGCAUAAAUAACUUUUUUUAAU